rnacentral:lncRNA from 1 species
GACCUGGGAAGUCCUGAGAUAAACUCGGAGACAAAGAGAGAGGCACAUGAAGUUUAACAAUUUACACAAGGAAAGCUUCCACAAGGUGAUAUUGUACCAUCACUCUUCAAGUAAGGUAUCAACUUAAGGUACUUGACUAUUAUCACUUUUAUAAGCUUAUCCUUGGUUCUGACGUUCACAUGAAUAAAAGAGACAAACAUGUAUGAUUUACAACUCUAGAUUAACCAACCCAAUCGAUUCAACAUGUUUAGCCCUUCCACCUUUGUGAUCCCACACUCCUAUUCAUAUGAGCUAAAGUGUUGCACAUUCAAUCUUUGGAAGAUAUAAACAAAACAUAAGUAUAGAUAGAUUAUCUUUCCAUUAGGUUGAGCGAUCUGAUCUGACAAAUAUUUUAAAUACUACACUCAUAAUCUUAUUAUCCAUCAACUUUGUCUUGCUCCCUAUGCUUAAGGUUAGAGAAGAACAAAUACACUUUUGGUUCUGUUGGUGUUUUCCACCAACAGGGCCCAUGCACUUGAUCUCUGCCUUGUCUAUGAGCAGGUACACUUCGAGUAAAAUAUGGACUUUUACAAAUCCCAGACUCCACCUAGUGAAGAACCUAGAUCUACAAGUACAAAUACACUGGAGAUACUGGACACUCAGGCAAUCACUGUCCUGAGAUGCUUAAGAACAUAACUACUGGAGCAACCCUGUUAUGGAAGUAAUUACUGACCUUCUGCCGGUCAAGUGAGACAAUCCAGGACGCCCCGUCAUCCCGAUCCCCAUCGGCAUGGUGGACUUCCCAGAAGCACUCUGCGACUUUGGCUUCAGCGUCAACAUUAUGCCCAGGGUACUCUAUGAAAAAUUCUUUACACAUCCUUUAUCAGAAACAACCAUGGGUUUGCAGCUUGCAGAUCGACACUAAGUUUCCCAAAAGGAAUAUUGAAGCACCUCUGCGUCCGAGUUGGUACCUUGUACGCCCCAGCAGACUUCGUAGUAAUAGAGACUGGUACUGAUGAGAGGGCACUCAUCAUUCUAGGGAGGCCAUUCCUGAACACCUGGGGAGCUGUCAUCUACGCUAGUGCUGCCAAGAUCAGUUUCCACAUCAAAGGGAGAAAGGAGACAUUUUCCUUCAAGAACAAGACUACACAAAUCUUAGAGCAUUCCCGACAUGAACCAACGAAGAGGACCAACAGGAGGAACAGGAACAAGCAAAUGUGGACUGAGUCAGCUAAGAUGGUCACUGCAGCUCAAGGAGGUCAAGAUCGUCAACUCAAGUCGCCUUUCUUGAUCAAGAAGGAUGACCCUAGUGUUCCAAGCAUCGAGUGCACAAUCAACGGAUAUUCUUUUCAGAAGACACUCUACGACACCGGAUCUGACGUCAACAUAAUGGCUGCAGUCACUUAUGAGCUCCUGCAUGGAACCAUGCCCCUACAACCAACAUACAUUCAGAUCAGACAUUCCGAAAGGUUGAAGGUUAUUGACAUGGGAGAAGACGAGUACGAUCCACCAAUCAUCCUUAGAAGACCGUUCUUUAGCACCGUUAAAGCAUUCAUAUACAUUGGAACCAGAGAAGUCCACAUGCAUUUCCCCUCUGAGAAGGUACGCCACUAUUUUACUGACCCUAACUAUAUAGUUGAAGACUCUAAGCAGGUCAGGACAAGAAGAAGACAACACAACCGCAACCAGAGGAGGCAAAUUAUCAAGGAUGGAUGGGCAGACUACGAAGGAGAAGUAGUAAGGCCUGAAGACAUACAGCUUGAACAAAACUGUCUUGAGGAGACCGUAGCACCGAGUCAGGUGUGGAGAGAGAAGAUAGCUAUACACGAAGAGCAGGCGCCGCCGGAACCACCGACUACGCCAUCCAGCGAAUCUCAAGAUGAUUGAGAAAACGAAGAGUCCCGUUCGGAGGACUUAAAAACACCGAACGCCUUGCCAAGAGGUAAACUUGGUAGUUAUCUUUUUCCUUUCAAUUAUUUUAAAAAUAAUCUGCUUAGUUAAUGAGGUUUAUAUCAUCUUAAAAAGAAAAUAAAAAUGUUAAAAAUAGUAAGCCCCAUGUGAGUAUGCUCAUGGCAUAAAACCCAUAAGUACAUUCACUGUGGUGGCGUAAAAAUAAAUAUAUAUUCCUGUCCUAUAAAAAAUGAAAAUAUAAAAAAAGAUUUAUGAUCCUAUUAAAAAGAGUAACAUUUAUUGAGGAGGCUCAACAUGAUAAAGGCUAGAUAUUUAUGUUAACACUUAACUAGUUCCACAAAGCUUUGUUGUCUAUUUGAGCUCCACAGAAUUCAAGAAUCAUAGAAGACUAGCAGACGGAGGACAUCCUAAUCGCUGUCAGGGUGCUGCCGACAUUCAAAUACACCUCCGCCACCUGCUAGCUACAUCAAAAAAAAUUACGUCAAAAUCCAGCUUGGGGGAGAGCACCCCCAUUUGUCCAGCUAAGUGUUCUACUCAUGUUUAUACUUUACUCAAAUAAUAAAAAAAAGAUGCAUAAUCAUAUAAACCCAAAUAAAGAUUUUGUGCUUAUAUAUAUCUUUGCUUAGUUUGCUAAAUAAAUAAAUAAAUAAAGUUUGCUAUGAACCCUCAUGAUAAGCUCUCACAUGGAAAUGAUGAAUAGUUGCUCUGCCAUGACUAGUUCUCAAAAUUGAAAUCUCUCUCAAGUUUAGGCCUAACUGUUAUUAAUUAAGAUUUGCUCUAAACCUGAACUUGUGGGAAGAGUACUUGAUCUGAAGUCUAAGUCGUUAACGGAUAUGAUAUGGGAAGGUUGAGCUGCUGUUUAAAAUGUUGCAUGAUGAGUUCCUGUAUGAUGAGAGUUUAAAUUCCUACCACAGCCAGAUAUACAUGCUUGCUAGACUUUGAGCCACACAUUUACUUUUUACUGCUUAUGAGCAUUGAGUGUGGUCAAGCUGUGUAGACCCUUAGGAGCUUGUCAUGUGGUUAAAAUCAAGAUUCACUUGCACGUUCACUCACACAUGCUACUUCUACUCCGGAAGUACGCAUCCACAUAUAUCCAUCCAUUUCCAUCUCCAGAACCACCCAAAAAUAUUCUACUCCUAAUCCGGGAGAGAAUAGCCAAAAAUAUUCUCCUAUUUAUGUUUUUCCCUGUGUGAAAUAAAUGCUCAAGUUAUCUUGUUACUACCACUUACUAUAUUAUCUCAUGAGAUGAGUGCUCUAAUAAAAAAAAAGAAGAAAAAAAAUAAGAUACGAGGAAAUAAAAAGGGGCAAGUGCCCGGAACCUCGAAAGAAAAAAAAGUGAGACGAGAGGUAAAAAUGGACAAGUGUCCGACAGUAGAAUUAGGGGUACAAGAUACCCACCAGAGAGAAAAAAAAAGAAGAAAAUAUAGAGCAUCUCAUUCUCCCCAAAUGUUUCAAAAGAGCAAGGAAGGUAUGUAUCCCCUCAAAAGAGCACAAGUAGAAUUAGACUUUCACCAUUGUUAGCACCAUCAUCACCAUUGUUAUCACCAUUCAUUCGCCACACAUGCACAUCUUGAUUUGACUUAUUGACUUGUUCUUCUGGAUCCAUGGUUUGACUAUGCAAUAAAUGUCUUGUAAGUAUGUAUUAGCUGUCUCCCACCUAUGAGCUCCAGAUAUCAAAAGCCUUAUUAGAGUAGGGUGAGAGGAAGGCAAUGUCACUAUGCCUCAUACCAAAAAUACCACAUACUUUGAGAGAAGGCAUACACCUUUAAUGCCUUGGUAAGGAUCCAGAAAUACCACAAAUGAGAGAUUAGAGAGAGUCAUACAAGGAAUCUCUGAGUUUUAUUUGAAAAUCUGCAAAAACUCCAGAGCUAUAGCUGAUCAAGAAUAAGAGACAUGGUGCUUGACUAGACCAUUCUAUCUUUUAACUACUCAAGACAGAAGUGACGGUUACAAGUCCCAUGGUGAAAGGUAAAUGAGUAAGUUUUAAGUCUUAACAGUUCACUCUAACCAGAGAUGAGAUUUUGUUUAAACGCAUGUGUAUCCUUAAGUUAUGAAACCACUGCAGAAACUCUUGAGUUCAUCUUUGCUCAGGGACGAGCAAAGGUUAAGCUUGGGGGAGCUUGUUGACGGUCCUUAAUGCUCACAUUUAACCAUCAACUAAUCAUAGAAAAGGAUCCAAAGGCAACCAACACUUAGACUUAGGGUUUUAUCUGACAGAAUUCCACGAGUUUUGGUGUUUGUCUAUUUCUGCAGGGGGUUAUCAGGAAAUACGGAAGAAAGGCCCACACGUCGGGUUUACAUAGAGAUAUUAACGUGCCGCGCAAUUUUCUAUCAUCUAGAAGACUCCAGAAGCCACGGGACCGAAGCGGAAGCCGAGAGGCCUCAGGGACAGGGCGCCCGCCCUAGUCCUGAGGGCGCCCGCCCACCUCUUUCCACCAAUCAGGGUGAAGUUCGGGGAUCAUGCUCCACCGACCUAAUACUUCAAGGUAAACCACACGAUCAAUGUCGGUUUGAUCCGACGGCCCAGAUUCACUUAAAGGGACUAUAAAACCAGACCCCCCUGGCCCCUGGAGAUCAUACCUCUUCUACAGAAUCAAAGUUAGGGUUUCAAUUCUUCAUCCAAGUAGAGAGGAUCCCUCUAGUUCUUCUAGUUCUACCUCUAGUUCAUCUAGAUCUAGUUCUAGUUCAUCUAGUUCUAGUUCUAGUUCCUCUAGUUCUAGUUCUAGUUAGUUCUAGUUGUAAUCUAGAAAAUAGGGAGAGAGAAGAGGAGAGCGGAGGAGGAGGAGCCGGAUCUGUCGGAUCUUCCUCAACAUUGUACUUUUGCAGCAACUGGUUCGUUCUUCAUCGUUCUCCAGGUUCUUCAAUUCAUAACUCCUGAGUUCUUUAAUUACUUUUAUUUAUAUUCAAGUUAUUUAUUGGAUUCCCGCUUGCAUCAAGUGCUCUAAUCUUUGAAACAUUAGAGUAGUAAUUAAUAGAUUAGACGUGGUGUUUAGUCUUGCAAUUACCUGGAAUUGCACCCAAUCCUGCGGAUUGUUGUGGUAGCCUUAGAGUAGUGACAGCCCUAACGGUCGACGUAUUCCACCUCGUUCGGAUCGGUGUUUGUAGGACCGUAGUCGGAGCUUCCUAGCCCCCUUCUCAUCUCUUUCUGUGGUUAGUGUUCCGAUAUAGAUAAUCUUGAAGUAAUUCUUGAUUCUUAGAUCAACUAGAGAACUCUCAGGAAACUUCCUCUCUUCUCACCAAAAAUAAUUAUAUUGUUAUCCUUGGGCGAUCUUGGAUCUUAAUUAGUACACUCACGUUCUCUGUGGAAAAUCGAUACUCUGGAAUACUCCCGGGUGAAGGCUACAUCGGUAUCCGUGCGCUUGCGGAUUUUUCUGUUUGCGUUUAAAAUACCCAACAGAUAACAACAUUGAUAUAAAUUCCUAUCUGUCACGAGUGACAGAUAAUCACUCGACUUCUACCGGAGAUCCUAUAGCAUAGCAAGCUACACGUUCCUGUCAUUCUAGUAGACUUAUAGGAUAAAGUUAUAUGCAAGUGGGUUUCAUUCAACUCCUUAAACUUAAUGUACAAGCAUAAAGUAAAGUGUAGAAUAAUAGGGGUUAUGAACUAGGGCUUGCUUGGGUAACUUAUAACCAAGUUAGCAUCUCAUCAUAGCAACACGAUCAUCAAGGCACAUCUUUUGGUUACUCCAGAUGACUCCAUGAUCUAGCAUGUGUCUAUUAUGAUAUUUGCAGAGACAAUCAUAGAAACGUAAAUAAAUAAUGGAAAUCACAACUUAAUACAAAUUCGCCUCUCAUGCUAACGAACUAGGUCAACGACUAACGUACUAGGCUGCGGAUCCACGUUGUUGAGCUAAACGAUAAUUCCAGACAAAACCUGAAACGCUGUUUACUCUAUGUUACUUAUUUAUAAUAUAUAUCCAUAUUAGGGUUCAUCAAGCAUCCUGACCAACUAAUUAUUUUGGAGCUACAAAAAUUAUAGAGAGUGUAUAUUAGUAUUUCAAAGCUACUGCAAAAGUUUCAUGGCCAACACUAUCAUCAUCUUAUCACCAAAAUUCUUGCAAGUUUAUAUAUCAUCACUUUUAAGCACUUUAAUUUAAUUAGAGAACUACUGAAAAUGUUGAGAAAGUAUGUGAACUAGUUAUAUGUUGACAGUCGAUAACGUCAACUUUUAUUAGAGCUUUAGACCCAAAGGAGAACAUGAAAACACACUAGUGUAGGGUUUAAACUGACAAUUUCCACUAGUAAUCGCAAUCAUUUCCAUUCCAUGUUUAUCAAUCAUGUUUUUCUCCUACACUGGGAGUAAACACCAACAUAAACCAUACCCAUAGGAUAAAGCCCAUCAUAAAUGCCCUAAGUUCUUAUUAUUACCUCUCUAAUCAUUUAUUGUAUUCAAAGGAUACAUGUGGCUAUGCAAAAAUAUAAAAGAAGAAAAGGGAGUAAAAGAUGGACAAGUGUCCUAGUAAUUAAAACAAUGGGUACUAGAUGCCCGCCUCCCUGAAUAAAAAAAUAAAGAUAGCCCAUGUCUUUCCUGAAAAGUUUCAAUAGAGAGGUGCUCCCAAAGAAAUAUAAAUUAGCCACAAAUACCACAAAUGCACCGAUCCACCAUAUUCCAUACACAUGCACAUCUUGGUUUGAUUGUAUGCCUCGAUUCUCUAUGGAUCCAUUAGUUGACUUUAUAAUACAUGCAUUGCAAGUAUGCCUAUCCUUGAUAUUGACACUCCUAUAAGCUCUAGGAUAUAUACCUUUAGCUAUAGGAGGCAUAACAUCAUUAAUGCCUCAAGUGAGAACUAUAAAUACCACAUACAUUGAGAGACUUGAGGGUGUCAUACAAUUAAGCUCUGAGUUUUAUUGAAAAACUUAUAAAAAACUCCAGAAUAAUGGUUCUGCAAAGAAUUUGAGACAUAGUGCUUGACCUGAUUGUUCUGUCUUCUGAUUGCUCAAGACUCAUGCAAAAGCUGUAAAGCCCCAUGGUUAAAGGUAAAACGGGUAAGUUUGAAGAUUAGAGCAGUUAUUAACUAAUCCGGAGGAGAAUCGUGUUUAGGAGCAUGUGUACUUGGAAAGAAUGAAAGCAUUGUAGCAACUCCUGAUCCAAAUAUAUAUACUACUUAGGCUUGGUUUGCCAAGGGACUGGCAAAAGGUAAGCUUGGGGGAAUUGUUGACGGUCGAUAACGUCAACUUUUAUUAGCUUUAGACCCAAAGGAGAACAUAAAAACAUAAUAGUCUAGGGUUUAAACUGACAAUUUCUACGAGUUUUGCAUAUUCUGUAUUUUCCAGGGUCUAUUUUUAGAAAAGCUGAAAAGAGGGAUUCAAGUGCAAAAUAAACACGAAACUUAUCCGCCACGGAAAGGUCACAAUUGGGACAUGGGAAUACUUUGGAAGACACCCAAAGAUAUGGGGGGCCAGAGGCCGCCAGGUGGGGCUGGCUGGCCCCACCCUAGCACUGGCCGAUGCCCUAAUGUUAGGGUUUUGGCCCCCUUCUGGAAGCUUCCUCCACCGGGCUAUAAAUAAAGGGGCAGACCCCCCUCCCUAGAGGCAUCAAGUCAUUUGGAGAUCAAUCCAUCAAGAGCCUUCUCUAGUUCAUCAGAGCCUCUCUAGUUCAUAGAUUUGGCCUAGUUAGAUUAGAAGUAGAAGAGUUCUAGUUCUUCAGCGGGAUCCGGAGCCCCUGGUGUCUGUCUGGAGCGCGGAGUUUGGUAUUGUUCUAGUACUUUUCUCUUAUUGUAUUCAAUAUUAAGAUUUGGAAAACAUUGUUCUUAAUCUCUUAUAUAAUUGCAAUAAUCAUUGUCUACUUUGAUUAUAUGUCUAGGACAGUUGGUUUGGUCUUAUUGAAUUCAUGUAAGUGCUCGUAUAGCCUUUACCUAAUUGAUCGUUGGGUAGAUGGUAGACAAUAUGUAGACGUGGUGUCUAGAUAUCUUGUUUAUCUGUGAGUGCACCCUGACGUGCCGGGAUGUGUGGUAGAUCGCACAGGUGAUAACUGUGUUGGAUCCUCUGUACUCCACCCUCCGUACGUAGGACUAGCAUGGGCGCGGUCACGAAGGAGGUGACCCUUGUAUCUUAAUACCCUCAUUAGUUGAUGCCUCUUUACAUGUGAUUAUGAUAUAGGGUUGACUUAACAAUAAUUUCUAGAUGUAAUUGCACUAAUUAGAGUUAUUCAUAGAUGUAGUUAUAGAAUUACCUUAGUAUUUAUUCCUGAGUUUAUCCAUUGGCUAGCUAUUACUACGACUAGAAGAGCUCUCAUAUUUAUCUUUUUAUGAUGACUGAUCAUUAUUUAUCUUAUAUCUUUUAUCAAGUGACCUACCCCUAUUAUGAGUAGGAUUCUAGUGAUGGUUUAACGUUCGCAUAAAUAGUAUAAGUUAUAGUUAUAAGUCCUACAUAUAGACCUUCCCUGUGGAUACGAUAUUUAAAACCCCCCGGGUAAAAUGUGACAUUGGUAUGAUAUCUGUGCGCUUGCGGAUAAUCUUACUUAAAUCUUAUUUAAAGAAGUACAAUUAAUUUAUACCAAUAAGCAUUUUUGGCGCCGUUGCCAAGGAAGGUAGCUAGGCAAUUAAGGAACAUUGAUAGACUUAUACUCAAUUAUGUGAUAGAGAUAACCAUUAACCCCUGCUCAAGUAGGAUUACCCUUGUUUGUCUACUUUUAUAUCUUAUGCAUGGUAAUAAACGACCGGUUUACGACCUUCUGGCAUGCCCCCACAAAAUAAGAAGAUACAUAACAAAUCCAAUGUUGGAGAAAGAGGUCGACGUCACAGGACUUUAAUUCAUAUCUCAAGUGACGGAAACAAAGAUGUUGCAUCACUCACAAAUUCUAGAAUGUGAGUCAUGGUAAGUAUGAUCAAAUAAAGGUGACACAGUCUUGCUCAUGGACUUCCACAAUUAUGAGUAGUUAUCUUUUACAUUCCACUGCAUGUUUACAUUAAUCCAUAUAUUCACACUAUUUAGUUUAAAUUUCCUCAGCCCUAACUUGUUCCAUUUCAUAUAUUCAUCUCACAUGUAUUAUAAAAAAAUCACCAUGAUCAUGCUCUUUUAUCUCUAUCUGAAAUCUCUACUAUAUUUUCAUGUUACCUUUAUUUGCUAUGAUAUAUAUUUAGGCUUUGCAGCACUUUCAUAAAUCUCUUAAAUGAAGCAUGGUGCUUAGUUUUGGAGUGGUGGUUUUACUUUUAAAAGGCUUUUAAACCGAGCUCAAAUUAAAAUGCCUUCCUAAGUCAAAUUAGACGUGGUGUCUAGGUUGAUUUUUGAGCUGAUAGUAUGUUAUAGUGGAUACUGGAUAUUUUGUUGGACUAACCCCUACAAGAAAAUUUUGAAUUAAAUCUAGGAAAGUCUAGAGAUAAGUUCACACUGGGGAUGAAUCAAGGCAGAUAAUAACUUUGCACAAAAAGUCCAACUUGAGAGUAGUAAUAUUUAUUCUUUUAUCUUUUGUUACAAGUUAUCUUUGCCUUGAACCAUGCUAGAUUGCAACAACAACAUAAAACACAAUAGACACAAUUUAUGCUAAAUAAUCUUAAACCAUAUAUCAUGUUGAUUAGCAUAGAAGAAAAUCACAACAAAGUAUGGACAACAAAACCCGUAUUUCAAUCUUGCUAUUCCAUCUGGUAUGUGUCCAUUAACAUUUUGCAUGAAAGAACAACCUUAAUAUAUUGGAGAAGAAGUUUUCAAAUAAGCAUUAUCACAUCUCCAAUAGACCCCAACUCAUCAACCACAAAUUAGUCAAAGAAAUCAGAAAAAAAGUUGAUGAGUGAAGAGCAUGUAAUCUUCUAUAGUUUCAUUGAAUGGUGAAAAGGCGAAAAAGAUAAAAGGAAGGUCUUGCUCAGCAAGACCGUAAGCUCUCACCAACAGAUGAACCCAAACCCUCCUCUUCCAAGUAAGUUUGUCAUCACUUACUUAGAAAGAUGAAGAUAUGAGGUAUGUUUGUCCAAGCCUCAUGCAACAUGUAACUACAAUUAACAUCUGAUACCAUGUUGCUAAUUUGUCUUGGUCACUUCUACCCUAUGCUAUGCUCAAACAUAACUUGCUAAAAUAUAUAUAAUAAAAUACUCCUGUGGUUCACCAUACAUAAUCUUGAUUCUAUGUGAAUAAAUACCUUUAGUCUUGCAAACUUCCUUAUUCUAUUAUAAGCAUGAUUUAGAAUAUUACUUAAACAUUAUGAAAAUCAAGCAUACUUAUAUAAGAAUUUAGUUGUACAUAUAGACUAACCCCUCCUACAUAAAAAAUGUUUAAAUCAUAUUAGGAGACUAUUCAUAGAAUCAAUUCAAGGUUAAGGGUAUGCUUCAGAAUAAUAUCUUUGCUUUAACCUUGAUGAAAAAAAUUGUAUCAUUGAAAACAUGAGCUACAAAUCAAUCUUUAACUCUUAGGCAAACACUAUCCAUACUUUGAUAAAUAGUAUAUUCCUUCGGGUACGUGUUCUCCACUAACCCCUUGCAGAAAAGACAUAAUGAGAGAAGUAGAAGGUCUCAAGAGUGAGAAAAGAGUACAACAUACGAGACAAGAUGCUAAUGAAUAACCCAUGAUACAAUAAAAAAAGAGAGACCAUUGAAACUCAUCAUGCUCUAAUGGAGGUAACAUCUUAAGAUAAGUGGUCAUUAAUUUCCUCUUAAUCUUGGUAUGCAAUAAAUGAAAAUACAACCAUGCCAGAGUUACAACUUAAAUUGAUCAACCUGAUUAAACUCAACAUGAUUUGUUCUCUGAGUUUGUUCAUAGCGCUAUUCUUGUAAUCUCAGUCUUAACCGAGUAAGCUAGAAAUACUUCAUCUAUAAUUCUUGAUAUAUUAUUGUUGACGGUCCUUAAGUAUCAAAUUUAAUUAUCAAAUAAAUAAAGAAUAGGAUCCAAAUGAAAUCAACAUCUAGACUUAGGGUUUUAUCUGACAGAAUUCCACGAGUUUUGGUGUUUGUCUAUUUUUGCAGGGGGUUAUCAGGAAAUAAGGAAGAAAGACCCACACGUCGGGAUUACAUAGAGAUAUUAAUGUGCCGUGCAAUUAUCUUACAUCUAGAAGUCUCCAGAAGCCACGGGAAGGAAGCGGAGGCCGAACGGGGCCAGGCACUGGGCGCCCGCCCAGUUGACCUGGGCGCCCGCCCCCUCGUGGAGUCCAAACAGGACUCUCUUUCGGGAAAGAUCUCCACCGACCUAAAGAUCAAGGAUAACCGUUCAAUCAAUGUCGGUUUGAUCCAACGGCCCAUAUUCACUUGAAGGGACUAUAAAACCAGACCCCCUGGCCCCUGGAGGAGAGAGCCUCUCAACCCUAAUUCAUUAUUCCUCAAGGGAGAAGAAGCCCCUGAUCAAGAUUAGAGCCACCACAUCAAUUAGAUAUCUAGAUUAGCAUAGCUACAUAGGAUUAGAACUCGAAGGAGUCAAUCUUCGAUUGGUUUCCGGAUCUGUCAAGAGGAUUCUUGGUAAUUCUCUAAUUGUGCUUCUAAUUGUUCUUCUAAUCAUCUUUGUUCUUCAAUAUUAUGAAUAUGACUUUGUUCUACUUCAAUAUAUUGCUUAUGACUUUGCUCUACUUGUUUAUAUUCAAGAUUAUAUUGUUCUUAGUUUAUCAUAGUUAUAUACUUGGCUUAGUUAGAUUGGAUCUAUAUACAUGUUUAGGAUCGUAUAGCGUUUAUCCAUCGGAUCCAUGGGUAAAUGAUAGAUAUUGUGUAGGCGUGGUGCUUAUACCGUAUUUAUCUGCAAUUGUACCCAAUAUGCCAGAUCGCGGGGUAGUUCGUGAUAGUGACAGCUUCAUUGAUUCUUAUAUAGUCUCCCUCUCGUGUAUUGGGCUGGCAGAGCAACAUUAUUACAGGGGACUGAUUGCUAUGUUUCUCAUAUUCAUUGCUAAUAUCACUAUGCAUGGGCGUAGUCUUGUCUCACAAUGAUUGCUAAGUAUACUUGCACUAACUAUGAUAAUGCUAGACUAUAUAGUUGAGAGUAACUUAGGAAAUAUUCUUGUAGUUCGUUCUAAUUCCAUGCUAAUGACUUUAUAGAGUAUCUAAUUUAGGUGCUUAUCAUAUUUAUUAUGUGGCUAAGAUAUGCUGAUCAGAUUAAUUAUCUUUGUCACUAUUCAUUACUUCAUAUAUCUUUUAUGUGACACUUACCUCUGUAUGAAAGAGUUAGAUAAAUGUUCUCAAUUAUACAUGCAAUGAUAGAUACUCAAUCUCAUUUUCUAUUCUAUAAUCAAUAUUGAUGGUUGCUAAUCCCUUCCCAGUGGUAAAAAUAUAAAUAACGAUACCUGGAAUACUUCCCGGUUAAAAUGCUACAUCGGUAUUAAUUUGUGCGCUUGCAGAUCCCAUUCAUUAUUUAUUUAGAAGAGCAAUUGCAUAUUUCAAUACCACGUCUCACAUGUCAUGCUGGGGAUGACAACUUGGCUUAAGUGGUAUGAGGGAUAGGUUUGGCAUUUUUGGCACCGUUAUCAGAAUUAGAGAACUAAGUCUACUUUUGGUAUUGAUGUUAAGAAUACCCAACAAGCAUUUUUGGCGCCGUUGCCAGGGAAGGUUGAUUACUAAUCAGGAAUGGAUGUAGAAUUUUGAGUUAUUAUUUGCAUCACUAAUGUGAUUGAGCUUAUUUAUUCUCCCAUACAGUUUUACCCUGAUAUUUUUCUAUUUUAUCUUAUGCAGGGGAAUGCAUGAAUAGAAGACAUCUUCCAGAAAAUUUUGUUGACAAUCCCGAAGCAUUAUUUAGAAAAACAAGAGCCAAGCUCAAGAAGAGAUCAUCAACACUUCAGCAAGAAACUUCAUCCAAUCAAGAAGAUCAUCGAAACUUGUCUUCAGAGUUCGAAGCCAUGGCGAACAAAUCAAUCCGCGAGUUUUCAGCUCCCACUACGGACAACAUCCGCACUGGACCUGCUUCAGAGAUCGAUGGCAACUUUGAGCUCAAGCCUAGACUUAUCAACAUGGUGCAAUCCAACCAGUUCUAUGGGAAGGCACACGAAGAUGCUAGUGCUCAUCUCCAACACUUCGUGGAGAUUUGCAGCACAUUCACCAUAUCAGGAGUCCCCAGAGAUGCUAUACUACUUCGCCUCUUCCCAUUCUCACUGUUAGGAAGAGCGAAGCAGUGGUUCUACGCUAUAAAGGAGAAGAAUACUAUGUGGGCACUCUGCUCCACGAACUUUCUGGCUAAGUUCUUUCCCAUGGGCAAGACCAAUGCUCUCCGUGGGAAAUUACAAGUUUUCAUCAACAAAAUGAUAAAUCUGUUCCAGAAGCAUGGGAGCGCUUCCAAGACUAUAUCCUAGAAUGUCCCCAUAAUGGAAUGGAGAGUUGGCUACUGAUGCAGACGUUUUAUCUUGGGCUCGGCAACAGUGCCCGAGAAACCAUGGAUGCUGCAGCUGGAGGAGCAUUCUUAUCACUCACGAUAUCACAAGCCACAGCUCUUGUGGAGAAGAUGGCAUCCAACCAAAGCUGGAAUGAAGAGAGGACCCAGACACGCAAGAGAGGUGGAGGUAUGCAUCAGCUCAAGGAGGUAGACAUGCUGUCUGCAAAGCUAGACCUGCUCAUGAAGAAGCUCGAUGAUAGAGCUAGAGAUAAGAAAGAAGUUAUGCACAUCUACGAGUCUCACAUGACUUGUGAGGAGUGUGGAGACACUGGACACUCAGGCAAUCAUUGCCCUGAGAUGCUUGAGGAUGUGAACUACAUCAUCAACAACAACAACUACUACUACAACCGUCCUCAACAAAAUCAAGGUUGGAAUCACAGAGGCCUAACUACUCAGGUAAUUAUCAAGGUAACAAUUCUUCCAACAAUAAUAAUAAUUUUCCACCUCUGAGAGAGUUAGUGUCUAAUCAAGGAAAGCUAAUGAAUAACCUAUCUAAGAAAUUGACAUCUAAUGAUAAAAUGCUAGAAAAUAUAAAUAAUAGAAUGGAUAAUUUCUCUUAUGCCAUCAAGAAUCAAAUUAGCUUUAAUAAAAUGAUUGAAUCUGAGUUAAAUCAAAUAGCUAAUCCUGUUCCUGCUACUAACCCCGGUAUACCAUCACAACCGGAAGGAUUAGAAUCUGCAAAUCUUGUAGACAUGUUUGAUGCAGGUAAUUGGAGUAACCCCGUCACUAAAGUUACUACUGACCUUCUGCCGGUCAAGAGAGGUGAUCCAGGACGCCCCGUCAUCCCGAUCUCCACUGGCAUGGUGGACGUCCCAGAAGCACUCUGCGACUUUGGCUCUAGUGUCAACAUUAUACCCAGGGUACUCUAUGAAAAAUUCCUUACAUAUCCUUUAUUAGAGACAACCAUGUGUUUGCAGUUUGCAGAUCAGGCGUUAAGUUUUCCAAAAGGAAUAUUGAAGAACCUUAUGUCCGAGUUGGUACCUUAUAUGCCCUAGCAGACUUCAUGGUGAUAGAGACCAGUAAUGAUGAGAGAGCACCCAUCAUCUUAGGGAGGCCAUUCUUAAACACCUUGGGAGCUGUCAUCUACGCUAGUGCUGCCAAGAUCAGUUUCUACAUCAAAGGGAAGAAGGAGACAUUUUCCUUCAAGAAUAAGACUACACAAAUCCUAGAUCAAUCCAGACGUGAAUCAAGGAAGAGGACCAACAGGAGGAAUAGGAAUAAGCAAGUAUGGACCGAGUCAGCUAAGAUGGUCACUGCAGUUCAUGGAGGUCAAGAUCACCAACUUAAGUCACCGUUUCUAACCAAGAAGGAUGACCCAGGAAUGCCAAGCAUCUAUUGCUCCAUAAAUGGAUAUAACUUCUACAAGACGACUUGCGACACCGGAUCGGGCGUCAACAUAAUGGCCGCAGUCACCUAUCAGCUCUUGUUUGGAACCAUGCCCUUAAAACCAACAUACAUUCAGCUCCAGAUGGCAGAUCAGACAUUUCGAGAAGUUAAAGGAACAGUAACUGAUGUCCCAGUCAAAAUAGACGACCAUUUUGUCUACACAGACUUUCAGGUUAUUGACAUGGGAGAAGACGAAUACGAUCCACCCAUCAUCCUUGGAAGACCGUUCCUCAGCACCGUUAAAGCAAUCAUCUACAUUGGAACUGGAGAAGUCCAUAUGCACUUCCCUUCAGAGAAGGUACGCCGCUACUUUACUGACCCCUAACUAUAUCGUUGAAGAAUCUAAGCAGGUCAGAAAGCGACGUAACCACAACCAGAGGGGGCAGAUCAUCAAGGACGGAUGGGCAGAUUAUGAAGGAGAAGUAGUAAGGUCAGAAGACAUACAGUUUAAACAGAACUAUCCUGAGGAGACCGAAGCACCAAGUCAGGUGUGGAGAGAGAAGAUAACUAUACAUGAAGAGGAGGCACCGCCGGAAGUACCGACUCCGCCACCCAACGAAUCCCAGGACAACUAGAAAACGGAGAGUCCCGUUCGGAGGACUUAAAAACACCGAACACCUUGCCAAGAGGUAAACUUGGUAGUUAUCCUUUCCCUUUCAAUUAUUUUAAAUGGUUUACUUAAUUAGUUAUAUUCAUACUAUCCUAAAAAGAAAAUAAAAAUGUUAAAAAAACAGUAAGCCCCAUGUGAGUAUACGAGUGGCAUAAAACCCAUAAGUACAUUCACUGUGGUGGCAUAAAAAAAAUAAAUAUUUUUCUGCUUUAUAAAAGGAAAAUAUAAAAAUAGAGAGUAAUAUUGAGGAGACUCAACAUGAUAAAGGCUAGAUACUUAUGCUAACACUUAAUCAGUUCCACAAGCUUUGUUGUCUAUUUGAGCUCCACAGAAUUUAAGAAUCAAGAAGACUAGUAGACGGAGGACAUUCUAAUCGUUGUCAGAAUGCUGCUGACUUUCAAAUACACCUCUGCCACCUGCUAGCUACAUCAAGAGAAAUUAAGUCAAAAUUCAGCUUGGGGGAGAGCACCCCCAUUUAUCCCGAUAAGUAUUUCUAUCUAUCUUUAUACUUAUACUAUAUUAAAAUAUAAAUAUACAUUACUAUGGAAAACUAAAUAAAGAUUUUAUGCUUAUAUAUAUAUAUCUUUUGCUUAGUGUGUUUAAUAAAUAAAUAAAGUGGCUAUGCUAAACUGGAUUCUAAUAAAUAAAACUCUAGCAUGGGUAUGAUGAAUAGUUGCUCUGCCUAAUUUGCAAAUUUGAAGUUCUCUCACUAGUUUAGAUAUAACUGUUAUAAUUUAAAGCUUGCUCUAAACCUAAACUUGUGGGAUGAAAACUUGAUCUGAAGUCUAAGUUGUUAACGGAUAUGAUAUGGAAAGGUUGAGCUACUGUUUAUCUGUUCCUAGAGAUGCUAGAAUUCUGGAGAAUUUUAUCUUUUAAAAACUUUAAAAUAAUGCAUGAUGAGUUCCUGUAUGAUGAGAGUUUAAAUUCCUACCACAGCCAUAUAUACAUGUUUGCUAGACUUUGAGCCACACAUUUACCUUUUUACUGCAUAUGAGCAUUGAGUGUGGUCAAGCUGUGUAGACCCUUAGGAGCUUGUCAUGUGGUUAAAUCAAGAUUCACUUGCACGUUCACUCAUACAUGCUACUUCUACUCCGGAAGUAGCAUCCACAUAUAUCCACCCAUUUCCAUCUCCAGAACCACCCAAAAAUAUUCUACUCCUAAUCCGGGAGAGAAUAGCCAAAAAUAUUUCUGUUUUCCCCUGUGAAAUAAAUGCUCAAGUUAUCUUGUUACUACCACUUGCUAUAUUAUCUCAUGACAUGAGUGCUCUAAAAAAAAGGAUACGAGGAAAUAAAAAGGGGCAAGUGCCCGGAACCUCAAAAGAAAAGAAAAAAAUGAGACGAGAGGUAAAAAUGGACAAGUGUCCGACAGUAGAAUUAGGGGUACAAGAUACCCACCUGAGAGAAAAGAAAAAGAAGAGCAUCUCAUUUUCCUCUCAAAGUUUCAAAAAGCAAGAAAGGUAUGUAUCCCCUCAAAAGAGCAAAAGUAGAAUUAGACUUUCACCAUUGUUAUCACCAUCAUCACCAUACACCAUUCAUUCGCCACACAUGCACAUCUUGAUUUGACUUAUUGAUUUGUUUCUUUGGAUCCAUGGUUUGACUAUACAAUAAAUGUCUUGUAAGUAUGUAUACUUUAUCUCCCACCUAUGAGCUCGAGAUAUUAAAGCCUUAUUAGAGUAGGGUGAGAGAGAAGGCAAUGUCACUAUGCUUUAUACCACAAAUGCCACAUAUCUUGAGAGAAGGCAUAUACCACCACUGCCUUGGUAAGGAUCCAGAAAUACCACAAAAGAGAGAUCUAAGAGAGUCAUACAAGGAAUCUCUAAGUUUUAUUUGAAAAUCUGCAAAAACUCCAGAGCUAUAGCUGAUCAAGAAUAAGAGACAUGGCACUUGACAAGACUGUUCUAUCUUUUAACUACUCAAGACAGAAGUGACGGUUACAAGUCCCAUGGUGAAAGGUAAAAUGAAUAAGUUUUAAGUCUUGACAGUUUACUCUAACCUAGAGAUGAAAUUAUAUUUAAAAAGCAUGUGUACCGUCAAUUUUUAAAGGUAUUGCAACAACUUAUGAUCCAUUGCUGAGAUUAUCCUUGCUCAGGGACGAGCAAGAGGUAAGCUUGGGGGAGUUUGUUGAUGGUCCUUAAGUAUCAAAUUUAAUUAUCAAAUAAAUAAAGAAAAGGAUCCAAAUGAAAUCAACAUCUAGACUUAGGGUUUUAUCUGACAGAAUUCCACGAGUUUUGGUGUUUGUAUAUUUUUGCAGGGGGUUAUCAGGAAAUAAGGAAGAAAGGCCCACACGUCGGGAUUACAUAGAGAUAUUAACGUGCCGCGCAAUUAUCUUACAUCUAGAAGACUCCAGAAGCCACGGGAAGGAAGCGGAGGCCGAACGGGGCCAGACACUGGGCACCCACCCAGUUGACCUGGGCGCCCGCCCCCUCCUGGAGUCCAAACAGGACUCUCUUUCGGGAAAGAUCUCCAUCGACCUAAAGGAUCAAGGAUAACCGUUCAAUCAAUGUCGGUUUGAUCCAACGGCCCAUAUUCACUUGAAGGGACUAUAAAACCAGAGCCCCUGGCCCCUGGAGGAGAGAGCCUCUCAACCCUAAUUCAUUAUUCCUCAAGGGAGAAGAAGCCCCUGAUCAAGAUUAGAGCCACCACAUCAAUUAGAUAUCUAGAUUAGCAUAGCUACAUAGGAUUAGAACUAGAAGGAGUCAAUCUUCGAUUGGUUUCCGGAUGUGUCAAGAGGAUUCUUGGUAAUUCUCUAAUUGUGCGUCUAAUUGUUCUUCUAAUCAUCCUUGUUCUUCAAUAUUAUGAAUAUGACUUUGUUCUACUUCAAUAUAUUGCUUAUGACUUUGCUCUACUUGUUUAUAUUCAAGAUUAUAUUGUUCUUAGUUUAUCAUAGUUAUAUACUUGGCUUAGUUAGAUUGGAUCUAUAUACAUGUUUAGGAUCGUAUAGCGUUUAUCCAUCGGAUCCAUGGGUAAAUGAUAGAUAUAAUGUAGGCGUGGUGCUUAUACCGUAUUUAUCUACGAUUGUACCCAAUAUGCCAGAUCGCGGGGUAGUUCGUGAUAGUGACAGCUUCAUUGAUUCUUAUAUAGUCCCCCUCUCGUGUAUUGGGCUGGCAGAGCAACAUUAUUACAGGGGAGUGAUUGCUAUGUUUCUCAUAUUCCUUACUAAUAUCACUAUGCAUGGGCGUAGUCUUGUCUCACAAUGAUUGCUAAGUAUACUUGCACUAACUAUGAUAAUGCUAGACUAUAUAGUUGAGAAUAACUUAGGAAAUAUUCUUGUAGUUCGUUCUAAUUCCAUGCUAAUGACUUUCUAGAGUAUCUAAUUGAGGUACUUAUCAUAUUUAUUAUGUGGCUAAGUUAUACUGAUCAGACUAAUUAUCUUUGUCACUAUUCAUUACUUCAUAUAUCUUUUAUGUGACACUUACCUCUGUAUGAAAGAGUUAGAUAAAUGUUCUCAAUUAUACAUGCAAUGAUAGAUACUCAAUCUCAUAUUCUAUUCUAUAAUCAAUAUUGAUGGUUCCUAAUCCCUUCCCAGUGGUAAAAAUAUAAAUAACGAUACCUGGAAUACUUUCCGGUUAAAAUGCUACAUCGGUAUUAAUCUGUGCGCUUGCAGAUCCCAUUCAUUAUUUAUUUAGAAAAGCAAUUGCAUAUUUCAAUACCGCGUCUCUCAUGUCAUGCUGGGGAUGACAACUUGGCUUAAGUGGUAUAAGGGAUAGGUUUGGCAUUUUUGGCACCGUUACUAGAAUUAGAAAACUAUCUACUUUUGGUAAUGAUGUUAAGAAUACCCAACAACUGUCAAGAGGAACUCAAAGUACUCAAUAAACCACUGCAAGGAGAAGUUCAGUUCGAAGGACUAAAAACAUAAAACUCUCGCCGUAAGGUAACAACGGUAGCUAUCUAUAUCUACUUCCUUACAUUGUAUGAGUUAAUUUCUCUUUAGUAUGUUUACUUUUCUAUAUUGGCAAUGCAUAGAAAUAACAAAGAUAAAUAGUUUUGCAUUAGGCUACAUUCAUGCAUCUUAAAAAAAUAUUAAGCUCCAUGUGAAACCCUUGUAGUGUAAAAGCUGUAGGAGUUCUCACUGUGGUGGCCUAUAGAAGAAAAAUAUAUAUCAUGCAUUUGCACUUUAUGCAUAUAAACCCAUAAAAUCCAAAAAUAUUAACUGAGCAUCCUGCUGCAAUACUGCUGUCUUAAAAAUACUUUGAAACCACCACAACACCCAAUCCUCUAAAAACGGUAAUCAUUAACGUUUUAUCCUAAUACCGUUCCACGAGUUUUGGUGUUUUGUGAGAGCUUUCUGCAGGAUGACUCUAAGAGCCAGCUUACCUAGGAAUCUUCAUCUUCAUCACUUGAAUUAUACCUUUCUGACACACAGCUGACCCCUAUAUGAAUGAAGUAACUUCUUGGGUGAUGAGAUUGAAGUAUUCCAGGCAACACUUGUUGUUAUAAGCAUGAGCUCCUCCAUGAGGACCACUCAGCUCCAAUGAUCAACCAUAAGCAAACAUCUAGCUUGGGGGAGAGCAUCCCCUAGUUAUGAGCACGGUUAGAAGCGUGGGAGAAAGAGAAUAAACCUGAAGAGUUAGAGCAAGAGAAGAAAGAAGCAAAAAAGAUAGAAGCAAGAUGGAAGGAAGACACACGUGAUGCAUCACCAUGAAAUGGGGAUUUGACUGAGGUUACCUCAGACAAAGAAUCCACUGAGUAAGUGCUCCCCUCUAUCUAAGUCCUGUCGGUAGACUUUAAAUUCCGUACCCUAGCCAUAAGGUCAGAAUGGUAGUUAUCUAGUUAAAUUAGCAUGCAUUAGUAAUUUUGCUUUAAAACACCUAGUAGAAUAUUUAUUUCUCUUGGCAUAUUAAUACAAAAUAUGAAAAAAAAUAUUUACUGCUUUAAUUACUGCAUCAUAAAUACCAAAGCCCCAUGUGAAUAAACUUAUGGUAACCCCUUAGGAAUAUUUACUAUGGUGGGAUAAAUUUUUUUUAGCAUUCAUAUUUAUUUCAUGCAUUAUAAAAUCAGAAAAUACAAAAAGAUAGAAACAUUAAAUUCUGCAAAAUUAGCUCAAUUGGCUGACUGCUAACCCAUUAAUAAAUUCGAGCAUCGAGUUUUAGUUUCUCUUUAUGGAGUGUAUUUAUGCAGGAAUAACAUCAUAGCAAGGAGAGAGUCUAUCAGUGGCACCCACCAGGUCCGCUACUGGUUAGCUCACUCUAAAGGACAUCUACACCAAGUAUUGCAACCAUCUAGCUUGGGGGAGGAGCAUCCCCUAGUUAUCAGGUGACUACACCUAAGCGAUUAUUAAUUUACUUUAUAUAGAUAUUCAUAAAAUACCAAAAAUAUGUGGGCACAUGAAGGUCCACAAGUCAUAGAGUCUUUUUGUGAGUUUAUAAUUAGUUAAGUGUUAGAGUAUGUUUAGAGUCGGUCUAAACUAGAGCUAAACAAAAAUCGAUGAACAUUAAAAUUUUAUCUUGGAGAUGAUGAAUUUUGCUCUGUUAUAAUUCUUUACAAGUAUCUAUAUUCUAACGGUAGAUUCUCUUAAGUUUUGGACAUGACUAUUUUAAUUAGAAGGUUUAUUUUGAACCUGCAACUUGUGGAGACAUAAGUUUGAGCUAAGUCUAGGUUGAAAGUCUGAGCUACUAUUUAUCUUAUUCCUAGCAUUACUAAGUUCUAGAGAUUUAUUUUGAAAACCCAAAAUUAUACAUGAUCAGCUCUUGUAUGACAAAGUUUGAAUUCCUACCAAAGCCAUAUAUAAUAUCCAUUUAGAGUUAGGAAAACUUUCGCACAUUUAUGCUGCUUGCUUUGCGUUGAGUUCAGUCACGCUUUGUCGUAUGCCUUAUGAGAGUCUUGUCAUGCUUUUAGAACCAAGAUCACAUACACACUUUAGAUCACAUAUGCAUUAUUACUACACUGGGAGUAAUCGCAAUUAUUUCCAUUCCAUGUUAUACAAUCAUGUUUUUCUCCUACACUAGGAAUAGACACCAACAUAAACCAUACCCAUAGGAUAAAGCCCAUCAUAAAUGCCCUAAGUUCUUAUUAUUACCUCUCUGAUCAUUUACUGUAUUCAAAGGAUACAUCUGGCUAUGCAAAAAUAUAAAAGAAGAAAAGGGAGUAAAAGAUGGACAAGUGUCCUAGUAAUUAAAACAAUGGGUACUAGAUGCCCGCCUCCCUGAAUAAAAAAAAUAAAGAUAGCCCAUGUCUUUCCUGAAAAGUUUCAAUAGAGAGGUGUUCCCAAAGAAAUAUAAAUUUGCCACAAAUACCACAAAUGCACCUAUCCACCAUAUUCCAUACACAUGCACAUCUUGGUUUGAUUGUAUGUCUCGAUUCUCUAUGGAUCCAUUAGUUGACUUUAUAAUAUAUGCAUUGCAAGUAUGCCUAUCCUUGUUAUUGACACUCCUAUAAGCUCUAGGAUAUAUACCUUUAGCUAUAGGAGGCAUAACAUCAUUAAUGCCUCAAGAUAGAACUAUAAAUACCACAUACAUUGAGAGACUUGAGGGUGUCAUACAAUUAAGCUCUGAGUUUUAUUUAAAAAACUUAUAAAAAACUCCAGAAUAAUGGUUAUGCAAAGAAUUUGAGAAAUAGUGCUUGACCUGAUUGUUCUAUCUUCUGAUUGCUCAAGAUUCAUGCAAAAGCUGUAAAGCCCCAUGGUUAAAGGUAAAACGGGUAAGUUUGAAGAUUAGAGCAGUUAUAAACUAAUCUGGAGGAGAACCGUUGUUUAGGAGCAUGUGUACUUGGAAAGAAUGAAAGCAUUGUAGCAACUCCUAAUCCAAAUACAUAUACUACUUAGGCUUGUGUUGAUGCAAAACUGAUCUGCAAACACAAAGGGCUAAUACCCGAUUCAAACGUUAAGGCGUGCCAGCCGAUUUGACCUUACUAUCGGCAAAGGUGAUAACUCGAAUACUUUAGUCCUGACAACAGCGAUGCGCCCGGAUGUCACGGCUAAGAGGUACUCACGCGGAACUCGAGAACACGCCGAGCUUAAGUCGACGAAUUCCUAAGAACUCGUAAUAAAAAGAAAAAAGUAUGACGAAGUCGUCGAAAAGUAGAUGCUGGAAUAUGAGUAAAAACAUGUGUUUGAUUGAUUUCUUGAUUCAUUAUUACAAGGCCCUAGGGUUUAUAUUUAUACCCUGCUCAAAGAGCUACAACCAGACACGAUUAGAAUUCGAAUUCCAAAUUACACGGAAUCCGUAUACAAAACGAUGCAAAUAAUUAAGGAAAUAACAAAACUAUCCCUCGUGACAAACCGAAACUCCUCCACAUGACAACUGGCAGCUUCCGGACUCCUCCUUUGCAUCAUCGGCAAUCCCUUUGCCAUAGUCAUCGGCAGACCUUUUUAUCUAGCCAUCGGCACCAUAUUACUGCCUGUGGACUUAGUUACAUUCAACAUCUCCCUCAUCGGCAACCAUCAUCAUCGGCAACCCGCUUUGUAAACAUCGUACUGCCACCUUAUCCUGCCAUCCUAGACACGUGCCUAGAAACGGUGUCAACACAUGCCCCCCAGUUUCGGAGUAUAAAACUAUUAAUGCUCCGAAAUUCUCUGCGGUAAUGAUGCCUUUUCCCGCAAUUAAUGCUCCUAAUCUGGUAACCGACAACCUCAAUCUGGACAACUCUGAUCCUAAUCCUCCGCGGAUUCCUCGAAAUCCCCAACUUCCUAAACGGGCAUUUUCUCAGUCGUACAUCGGCAACAAUACCGUUACAAAGAUCUGCCGAUGUCCUGACCAGGAUAUUCGCACAAACGGUCACUUCCCCUCUAUCCGCCCAUCGGCAAUAUGACUGUUACAGAAUAUCGCCGAUGGACCGACCAGGAGAUCUCGCGCAGUAAAAUAUCUUCAGAUAAUGACCGCUUCCCGUCAAAUCACCUGCACAAUCCCUGGAUUACCGUGCGAACAGUUACCAUAUCCACAUGAGUACCCUCGGAUUUCUCGGAUGCGGCAAAGAGAUAAGUCGGAUUUACCCUUGCCCAUUUUGUCCUAUAAAUAGUUCCUUCUUGGGUACUCCUCCCCCAUCACACCAUUCUACUACCCAACUUUACUUUCCCAGCGGCGGCGCCAUUUACAACCUCCAAGUCCUCGGACAAGCACUCCUCUUCAUCAACUCCGGUGCCCUCCAAUGUCCUCUUCACGACAAGAUGGCCAUUGGCUUCGUCGUCCCUGAGGUCAGAUCUCCAUCUCAUCUUCUGUAUUUUUUAUUCCUGUUCAUCCGCGAUUCAUCUUACUGAAUAUUCUCCUUUUCCUUUUUCUUUGUAUUUUUAUCCCCCAAAAUCACUAGGAGUUGUCCAAUAAAAUUGUCAUCCCCACCGAUCAACCACACCUUCAAUGUCUCGGCCCUCUAGGGGAUUCAGAUCCAACCAACCUUAUCAACGCAGAAACCAAUAGGAUCCCCUUUAGAGCCGAAAACUUUUCUUUAGAUCUGUGGAAAGACACUUUUCGCUCUUGGCCCAGCCCUACCGUAGGGUGGAAAGACUGGUUCUUGAGGGUCAGCAAUUCUUAUGAAGUCCAGUGGGGCGAAAGGAAACUAUCCCAAUGCAUUAGGCUAUCCAUUGCCGAUAUGCACAGGAACGAGUCACUGCUGAUAGCUGCGUCCUACUUUUGGUCAGACACCCUCAAUGCCUUUGUUUUUGGCCAUGGCCCUGCUUCUCCUACCCUUGCCGAUGUAGCCAUGCUCACUGGUCUAGAUAUAUCUUCUGCCGAUAGCACCCACUUUUUUGAUACUGCCCCCAGUGCUAAAGUGGAGACUCGCGCUAUUGGCGGUUGGUCAGGGUACAUUCAGAAGUACCGCGGGAGAGGGCCUGUCACCAUAAAGGAGCAAACCACCUUUCUGAACAUGUGGCUGGACAAGUUUGUAUUCUGUGGUCGAUCGGCAGGACCAACUUCUGUCUAUCUAUCGGCAGCAGAGAGACUGGCUAACGGUGGCCAAUUUCCUCUCGGCCGAUACUUGCUUGGCGCUGUUUACCACCUUCUCCAUCAGGUAGCCCAGAAACUCCUGCUUAGCCAAUCCAUCGGCAACUUGGGAGGCCCCUGGUGGUUUAUUAAUAUGUGGCUCAAUCUGCACCUGCAUAAGCGCCUUGAUUUCAACUUGUUCUCACAGCACUUCCCAAGAAAUAUAGCCGAAAAUCAUGUGUUGGGUGAAGAGGAAUCAGCAACGCGUGCCCCCUUGAACUUUGGCGAAGCCGUCAUAGUCCUACCUGGUUCAGGGAGUAAUCCGGAUCAGAUCGGCCGAUUCUUCGAGACUCUGUAUGAGGGUUUGGCCAGAGAUGAACGACCAUGGUUGGCUUAUGAUGACCCAGAUAGCAUGCUCCCUCUGACCUUCAAUCCAUUCGAUGAAGCUCUCGAUAGGGACAAUGAGGCGAUGAUGGCAAUUGUAACUCCCAGAGCCAUUCCAGUGAAUUUCUUCGGUAGCACAAAAACUUCUCCCCAGACUUAUGAAUUUUACAAUCCAUCGGCAUUAGCUCGCCAGUUAGCUUUCGGCCAGUUGUCAAUCGCACUUCCUUAUGCCGAUGUGAUAAAACCCAGAGAAACUAUCAAUAACUUUCUUGAGUGGAGUCGAGUAGCCCAACUACCACCAAACGCCGAUACAGAUGUAGAUCUAUCAGAAUGGGUUCCAGCUGCUUUUAUCACUCAGGCAUACAAGUUAUGGUGGGCAGAAUGGAAAGAGCAUCUAUUCUGCAGAUCGGCCCUUUCAUACCGCGACAUGAUCGACCCCGAAUACGAAAUUCCCGAUGACACUGUAAGUAUCUCCAACCGAUGUUUCAUUUUUUCAACAUUAUUUCCAUCAGUAGCUUACCCUUGUAUUCCUUUUGCAGGUUAAUAACAUCCCCUCAUCGGUUAGCAGGAGUGGCAAGCCGAUCGACUUGUUUCCAUCAGGCCCGAUUUCCUCAAUCGGCCACAAUGCUCCCACUCUGGCUUCCAUCGUGCAUCGGGGUGUGCGCCUCAGGAAAGUUACGACCAGGAGAACCCAGACAUCACCAACGGUAGCUGCUCCCACUCUAGCGCGGGCUUUCAAGGCAAUUUGUCAAAUCCUUAUCUUUUACGCUGACUAUCUUUAUAUCGGCUUUAUUUAUACUCAUAAACCCUUGUUCGUUAUUGCAGCAAACCAGUGCAUCGGCAAAGGUCACACGUCAAGGUGCCGAUGCCACCCAGUCCAGCCAGCCAAAGAGGAAGGGUGUCAAGAGCACCAGGGCCGAAACGAAACGCCAAAAAGUGGCAACUCCCCCUCUUCCUCCGGUAUCUCCAAUCCCAGUGGAGUCUUCUCCUUCUUCUCCAGAAGUCCAGACACAGCAAGCGCCAUCUCCCCAACCAAUGCAGGAAGCACCACAGAUGGAAGAAUCCCAGCAGGAAGAGCCUCAAACAGAAGGUACAUCAGUUGAUGUAGGUGAACAAACAACUGGUCCGGUGGGUCCAAUUAUAUCAUCGGCGGUUCUCCCGAUUCAGACAACCGUUGUUCCUCCUCCAGGUAACAUACUUUAACAAUACCGUUGCCGAUGAACUUAUUUUCAUUUAGUUUCAUAACCCUUCCUGUCUUCUUUCAGUCGAUAUCGUCCCAUCGGCAACCUUAGCCGAUCAACCUGUAGUUCCAUCGGCAUCUUUGGCCGAUCAGCCCGCAGCUCCGUCAGCACCUCCCAGUCUAAGGCAAGAGAUCGCCUUGAAGCAAGUAAGUCACUGUUUACCGCCAGCAUUAUUUGCCGAUUCUCCGAAUAUGAGCUAACCUUGCUUUCCCUCCCAGGAACAAGAUUCUCCCGAUAGCCUGUUUUCCUUCGCCAUCGAUCUCUCGGAAGAAGAAGGCGAAGAAGCAAGCUCUUCUCAGACAGUUGGCAUUACAUCGGCAGAGAUCAGGGCCAGGCUGGAAGAAUUGUCAGUUCUCCUCCACCAGGAUACAGCGCAUUUGGUCGAUGACUCCGACCCUACCAAGACCCUGUUCAGAACUCUCAGAGGCCAAAUCCCAGCCGACGUCGAAGAAAUCCUGUUCCAAGCCGCUCAUCUGGAGAGUCGCCAGCUGCAGUACCAGAGAGCUUCUCGGCGUCUUGCCGAUAGAGCCGCUCAGACUCAACUCUCCGAUGAAAUGAGGAAAGAGAAACUCCUGACCGAUGAGAAGCACAAGAACAUCGGUAUCCUGAGAUCUUCAGGAGAUGCGCUGAAGCAGAAGAUAUCCGAUCUAUCGGCAAGAAGAGAAUCCCUGUUGGCGGAACUCAAGGAAGUGGAGAACGCCUUAUCCCAAGCCCAACAGGAAGAGAGCCAAUUGCCAGAGACCAUCAGGCUUCUUGAGCACGAGCGAAACGUUCAUGGUCGCAAGGCACUUCAACUGAAGAAGAAGCUGAAGCCGAUAGAAGGUUCUGCCGAUGAUGACAUUAAGGAGAUAGAAGCAGCCAACCAAAUCCGGCUACGCGCUAUAUCGGCAAUCCAGACGCUGCUUAACACAUAGAGUUUCCAUCGGCAUUGUAUCUGCGCUUUCCUGCUUCCUCAGCUUUUAGUCUAGCCGAUAGGACUGUUAUCGGCGCCUAAACUUUUGAGACACCAAGUCUUGUCCCCAAGCAUUUGGAUCCAGCCGAUAGGAGUGUUAUCGGCACCUAAACUUCUAUGCAUCGACCCAUAUACUGGGGUAGUACUUCUUUAAAUAUUUGCCGUUUAAUGCUCUGGGAAAUUCAAUUCCUUCGAGGGUUUCUAGAAUGUAGGCAUUACCAGGAGCCGAUCGACUUAUCCAAUAAGGACCCUCCCAAUUAGGAGACCACUUUCCAAACUUCGAACUUUUGGUCCCAAUUGGUAAAAUUAAUUUCCAUACCAAAUCCCCAUCGGCAAACUCUUUAGCCUUCACUUUCUUAUCAUACCAUCUAGCAACUCUCUUCUUAUUUUCUUCUAUACUCAUUAAAGCUUUUAACCGAUGCCCUGCUAGAUCGUCCAAUUCAUCGGUCAUCAAAGUGGCAUAACCAUCGGAAGUUAAUUGAUCUUGAAAAGAUAAUCGCCUAGAUCCAGCCUUAAUUUCCCAAGGCAACACUGCAUCAUGUCCAUACACCAAUUGAUAGGGUGAUACCUUGGUCGAUCCAUGACAAGCCAUCCGAUAAGACCACAAUGCUUCAUUUAAUAAUGUAUGCCACCGCUUAGGAUUUUCUUCAAUCUUUCGUUUAAUAAGCUUGAUAAUUCCUUUGUUAGACGCUUCGGCCUGCCCAUUGGCUUGAGCAUAAUAAGGAGAAGAAUUCAACACUUUAAUUCCCAUACCGAUUGCGAAUUCAUCGAACUCCCCCGAUGUGAACAUGGUGCCCUGAUCGGUAGUAAUCGUUUGGGGAAUCCCAAAUCGGUAAAUAAUAUGCUCCUUCACAAAAUCAAUCAUAUUGGCCGAUGUGACUUUCUUCAAAGGAAUAGCUUCAACCCACUUAGUGAAAUAGUCAGUGGCAACUAGAAUGAACUUAUGCCCUUUGCUAGAUGGUGGAUAAAUCUGGCCGAUCAGAUCGAUGGCCCAUCCCCGGAACGGCCAAGGCUUUAUUAUAGGGUUCAUAGCCGAUGCGGGUGCUCUCUGGAUAUUACCAAACUUUUGACAACCUUGACAUCCCUUGAAAUAUUUAAAACAAUCUUCAACUAUGGUUGGCCAAAAAUAUCCAUUCCUUCGAAUCAUCCACUUCAUCUUAAAAGCUGACUGAUGCGCUCCACACACUCCUUUAUGGAUUUCCCCCAUCAAACUUCUAGCUUCAUCAUCACCCAAGCAUCAGAGAAGAAUUCCAUCGAUAGUUCGAUAAUACAAUUCAUCUUCAAGGAGCACAUACUUGGUUGCUUGAAAUCGAACCCGUCUUUCAACUUUUUUGGAUGGAUCUUUUAGAUAAUCAAUAAUUUCUUUCCUCCAAUCACCAGCACCGACUGCCGAUGUCGCAUUAAUCAUUGGCUGAUAUCCCGAGGCAUGCUGAGCUAACCGAUUAGCGUCUUCAUUAUGCAAUCGGGGAACAUGCUCCAACCGGAAAUCCUUGAAUUCCUUUAACAGUUGCAUACUUCUCUCGAAAUAAGUUAUGAGAACUUCACUUCGGCAUUCAUAGCUUCCGGCCAAUUGAUUUAUAACCAACAUAGAAUCCCCGAAUAUUUCAACAGCAUCAGCACGAACUUCUCUUAACAACUCUAAUCCCUUGAUCAGAGCUUGAUACUCAGCCUGAUUAUUUGUUGAUGUGGCAACAAUCGGCAAGGAAAACUCAUACUUCCUCCCCUUAGGGGAAACUAAUACAAUGCCGAUUCCUGCCCCCCGGUCACAGGUAGAUCCAUCAAAGAAGAGCGUCCAGGGUACAAUUUCCAAGGUUUCCACUAGGCCGCAAUGCUGAGUCACAAAAUCGGCCAUAAUCUGCCCUUUGACUGCCUUAGCCGAUUCGUAACGCAAAUCGAACUCCAACAGCGCUAAAAUCCAUUUACCGAUCCUACCACUCAUAAUCGGCAUAGAUAGCAUGUAUCGGACCACGUCAUCUUUGCAAACAACAGUGCAUUCGGCCGAUAACAGGUAAUGUCUCAGCUUGAUACAUGAAAAAUAUAAGCACAAGCAUAGUUUCUCAAUGGCCGAAUACCUGGUUUCAGCAUCAAUCAACCUCCUACUCAAAUAAUAAAUUACCCUUUCUUUCCCUUCAAAUUCUUGAACUAAAGCUGAACCGAUAACCGAUCCAUCGGUAGAUAAAUACAAUCUGAAGGGCUUCCCUUGUUGAGGUGGAACUAGAACUGGAGGAUUUACCAGAUACUUCUUGAUUUCAUCCAGAGCCAACUGCUGUUCUUCUCCCCAAAUAAACUCUUGAUCGGCUUUCAAUUUAAGAAGAAGACUGAAAGCACGAAUCCUACCAGACAAAUUCGAUAUAAAUCUCCUGAUAAAAUUUACUUUGCCGAUCAGGGAUUGGAGCUCGGUUUUGUUGGUAGGGGCCACUAUUUUAUUGAUGGCUUCAAUAGAUCUUCGACUAAUUUCAAUACCCCUCUGAUGUACCAUGAAACCAAGAAACUGCCCUGCCGAUACACCAAAUGCACACUUGUUGGGAUUCAUUUUCAAUCCAUGCUUCCUUGUGCACUCUAACACUUUUUGUAAAUCGGCAAGAUGCUUUGAGAAAUCUCCAGAUUUAACCACCACAUCAUCAAUAUAAAUCUCUACGAGCUUGCCGAUGAACUCAUGAAAUAUAAAAUUCAUAGCCCUUUGAUAAGUAGCACCAGCAUUCUUCAACCCAAAAGUCAUGACUAUCCAUUCAAAUAGCCCAACAUGACCAGGACACCUGAAUGCGGUUUUUGGAAUAUCCUCCUCCGCCAUGAAUAUUUGAUUGUAACCGGCAUUACCAUCCAUGAAGCUGAUGACCCGAUGACCAGCCGCAGCAUCAACCAGUAGAUCGGCGACAGGCAUUGGGUAUCCAUCCAUCGGCGUAGCUUUACUGAGAUUCCUGAAAUCAAUGCACACCCGAAGCUUCCCGUUCUUCUUGUAAACCGGAACAACAUUGGAAAUCCAUUCGGCAUACCGACACUGCCGAAUAAACUUAGCUUCAAUAAGUUUAGUUAUUUCGGCCUUAAUAUCAGGUAGAAUGUUAGGAUUACAUCGGCGGGCUGGUUGCUGAUGUGGCCGAAAUCCAGACUUGAUGGGUAACCGAUGUUCAACAAUUGAUCGGUCUAAACCAGGCAUCUCUGUAUAAUCCCAAGCAAAGCAAUCUUUAUAUUCCUUUAACAAACUAGUUAAUUGUCGCUUACUCUCGGGAUCUAAUUUAGCACUAAUAAAAGUAGGCCUAGGCUUAUCAUCACUACCUAUAUCUACUUCUACCAAAUCAUCGGCCGAUGUGAAUCCCUGGCCUAAUUUUCCAUCAUCGGCGAAUCUGUCCAUUAAAAACCGUCGUCAGAACCGACUGCUUGGAUCGGUGGAAUCUCAUAGUCGGCAACUUUGAGAAAAUCUUUCUCCCAAACUUCUCCUGAAAUGCACCUGGUCCUUUCGUAAGUAUCCGCUUCUGCCGAUGCGAUAACAUAAGAAGAAUCCCCUGGGACAAUCUCAAUCUUGUCACCUACCCACUGAACCAAGCACUGAUGCAUUGUAGAUGGGAUACAACAAUUGGCAUGAAUCCAAUCUCUUCCCAAUAAUAAGUUGUAGGCACCUUUUCCGCUGAUCACGAAAAAAGUUGUCGGCAAGGUUUUGCUGCCGAUGGUCAACUCUGCACAUAUCGCCCCCUUGACUGGAGACACGUUUCCUUCAAAGUCUUUGAGCAUCAUAUCGGUCUUGGUCAAAUCUUGAUCCCCUUUCCCAAGCUUCCGAUAUACUGCAUACGGCAUAAUAUUAAUAGCAGCUCCACCAUCAACUAGGAUCUUGGUCAUUGGCUGCCCAUCAACCCUUCCUUUGAGGAACAGAGCUUUAAGAUGCUGCCUCUCGUCAUCGGCAGGUUUCUCAAAGAUAGCCGUCAUCGGAUCCAGAGCCAACUGAGCUAUCUGAUCAGAAAAUUCCAAUUCAUCAUGACUGACUGGUGCAAGAAACUCCAUCGGCAACAUGAAGACCAUGUUGACGCCUGCCGAUGGACCUUCCCUCUUAGUGUCUGACGGCUGCCGACUUCCAGAGUUCUCUCCCUUGUUGAGCUCUUCUUGCCUUUCACGUUGCAAUCUCCUUUUCUGUGUCUUGGUUAAUCCUCCAGGGCACCAUGGAGGAAGUGGCCUUUGCCUUGCCGUCGGGCGUUGGUUCUCCCUUGACUCCAUACGAUGCGUGUUAGCAUCCCUGCAAAAUAUGAAUUCAUCGGGAACCCGCGCAUCAGCCAUUUCCUCGAGCUCUUCUUGGUUCCUGGGAAAAUACCAGACACGGUCACUAAGUCUGUUGUGCCCACUAAAUCUGCCCCCCAGCCGGUCAUGAACUGACACCCUUCCUCUGAUCGGCCCAUUAAAUCGCCGUUCAUCAUUAUGAUAAUGCCGAUCGAUCCUAUCGUACCGAUCAUAACCGUUGCACUCAGGGCAGUCUCUGACAGUAGGAAGCUUGAUAUUUUCCUCCCAACAAUGGAUGAAGAAUGGACAAUUCCAAUGAUCCCUGUGCCGAUUCCACUCCUGUCGGCGUCUUUCUUCUUCCCGUCGAUAAUCUUCCUGCUGGCGCCGAUACCGAUCUUCCCGUUGUUGCCACUUUUCUCGAGGCCUUCUAUGAGUUAUGACGAUACCAGAUCGAGGAAGCCUUCCUGAGCUAGUUCCUUCCUGGACCAAGCCCUUACUUCUUGCAUCGGCAGUAGUAACUUGAUGCUGAGGAUCUACCGAUGCACUCUUCUCAGCUGUCUCCGAUGUUAAGACCUUAGCCUUCCCCUUAGCAUCCAACAUGUUUGUCGGGAAAGGAUGUUGGUCUAUCUUCAUCGGCUUCUGGGCUUUGGAACUGUCAAACUUGAUUCUCCCUGACUCUAUAGCCGAUUGCAGCAGCUGUCUGAAUACUUUGCACUCGUUGGUGUCAUGGGAAGUUGCAUUAUGCCACUUGCAAUAUCUCAUCCUCUUCAACUCUUCUGCCGAUGGGAUCACAUGGUUAGGUGACAGUUUGAUCUGACCUUCCUGAAGUAGAAAGUCAAAUAUCCUAUCAGCCUUAGCGGUGUUAAAAGCAAACUUCUCUGGCUCCUUCUGCCCAAAAGGACAAGACAUCGGCUUCUUGUUUUUUACCCACUCUGCCAAACCGAUUACUGGUUCUUCAUCAGAAUCUGAGCUUGUUGCUUCAUCAACAAAUGACACUUUCUUAUUCCAUGCUCUCUUAGGCUCGAAAGGCUUGAUGUCUUGAUCAGAAAUCCUCUGCACCAAAUGACUUAAACUUUCAAACUCCUGAGAGGCAUACUUAUCCCUGAUAUGUGGCAACAAACCCUGGAAAGCCAAAUCGGCUAGCUGCCGAUCAUCCAGAACUAGGCUAUAGCAUUUAUUCUUGACCUCUCGUAUCCUCUGCACAAAUCCCUCAACCGACUCAUCAUUACGUUGCCUCAACUUGACCAAGUCGGUGAUCUUCUUCUCAUGAACCCCCGAGAAGAAGUAUUUGUGGAAUUGCUUCUCUAGAUCGGCCCAAGUAAUUACUGAGUUGGGAGGUAAUGAUAUGAACCAAGUAAAGGCCGAUCCAGACAAUGAUGAUGAAAAUAGACGAACCCUCAAUUCGUCCCUAUUACCAGCCUCUCCACAUUGAAUAAUGAACCUGUUGACAUGCUCCAUGGUUGACGUGUCGUCCUGUCCGGAAAACUUUGUAAAAUCCGGUACCUUGUACCGAUGUGGAAGCGGGAUCAAAUCAUACGCGGGAGGAUAUGGUGUCCGAUAAGAAUAAGUGUUGACUUUGGGUUUUAUCCCAAAUUGUUCCCUCAUUACUUCAGCAAUCUUAUCGGCCCAAUAUGCAUCGGCAUCUUGCCGAUGAGGCGGCUGCGGAUCUGGCACUUGGUGGCGAACCUCCACGUGUCUGUUCGGGACGUGAUCUGCACGGAACAUCGUAUUGAUCACCUGUCCUCCAAUCUGCGGACCACCAAACUGCUGUCCACCGAUUGGCUGUCCUCCGAGUUGCUGUCCAAAAUUCAUUGGCUGUUUGGGAAUCCCCUGACCUUGGAAACCGGGAUAGACCUGCCCUUGCUGGAACCCUGUAGUCUGAUAACUCUGCUGGGGCGAUUGUGGAAAGGCUUGCUAUCCAAGCCAUCCAUUAUUAGCGUUCAUCGGCAUAGGUGCUGCCGAUGAUUGGUAAUUGGGUACCGUCGUUGAAUUAACAUACCCCGACUGGGCCAUAGGCCUCUGUUGCAUCAGCAUUGACUCUGCCGAUGCGUUGGGCAUCUGGAACAUUGAAUCUUGAGGAUUUCCAGUGUGAGGCCUAGCAGUAGUGGUUGUGGUAUACCGAGGACUCUGGUUCACCGGCGCAUUGGGAGGUGCCGAUGCCAUAGGAGUUUUGCCCCUCAUGUCAGUUAUUUGUGAUGUUCCCGGCGUCAACUCUGGAGGCAUACCGUAACCCCACCAGUUGGGAGGAAGAGUCAACCCUGACAUUGCCGAUGCCAACAUAUCUGUUGUCAGUUUAUGCUGCCCAACUGAAAUUUGUGGGUUGGUUGCCAUCGGCAUAGAUAGUGCACCAGUAGUCCCCGAUGUACUUGGAGGGACGGCAGAUUGUGCACUUGCAUUCGUCAAGGCAGCCGAUGGAGUCGUGACCUCUGGUGCCGUUGGCUGAUGAUGGGAGGGGCCCACAUAAUCUGGUGGGAUUUGUCCUUCCUUGAAAGUUCUUGCCACGGCAUUGAAAACCGUAUUAGACAAUACACCAGCUUGGUUAAUCAACGCUCGAUUGAUGGCAUUGUCAACCAUAUCUUGAAGCUUGCCAGGAUUGGCGUCAAAGGUAACCUGCCGUGGUGCCGACAGUGCAUCUUUCUGGACCACUUCGCCGCUCCUGUUUAUGCUGAAAGACCUCAGGCAUUGCUGCUUGAACUCUUCCAUGGCUUGGGCAAUAGCUUGCUUCUGCUCAUCCUUGAGGUUGGCCUCCGUCACGGGGAUGACGUUCUCUUGAUCGAGGUCAGAGAUCGACAUGUUGAUCUUGAUCUUGAAUCUGGUCCCACUGGGCGUGCCAAAAGAUGUGUUGAUGCAAAACUGAUCUGCAAACACAAAGGGCUAAUACCCGAUUCAAACGUUAAGGCGUGCCAGCCGAUUUGACCUUACUAUCGGCAAAGGUGAUAACUCGAAUACUUUAGUCCUGACAACAGCGAUGCGCCCGGAUGUCACGGCUAAGAGGUACUCACGCGGAACUCGAGAACACGCCGAGCUUAAGUCGACGAAUUCCUAAGAACUCGUAAUAAAAAGAAAAAAGUAUGACGAAGUCGUCGAAAAGUAGAUGCUGGAAUAUGAGUAAAAACGUGUGUUUGAUUGAUUUCUUGAUUCAUUAUUACAAGGCCCUAGGGUUUAUAUUUAUACCCUGCUCAAAGAGCUACAACCAGACACGAUUAGAAUUCGAAUUCCAAAUUACACGGAAUCCGUAUACAAAACGAUGCAAAUAAUUAAGGAAAUAACAAAACUAUCCCUCGUGACAAACCGAAACUCCUCCACAUGACAACUGGCAGCUUCCGGACUCCUCCUUUGCAUCAUCGGCAAUCCCUUUGCCAUAGUCAUCGGCAGACCUUUUUAUCUAGCCAUCGGCACCAUAUUACUGCCUGUGGACUUAGUUACAUUCAACCUCUCCCUCAUUGGCAACCCGCUUUGUAAACAUCGUACUGCCACCUUAUCCUGCCAUCCUAGACACGUGCCUAGAAACGGUGUCAACAGCUUGGUUUGCCAAGGGACUGGCAAAAGAUAAGCUUGGGGGAAUUGUUGAUGGUCGAUACCGUCAACUUUAUUAGAGCUUUAGACCCAAAGGUGAACAUGAAAACACACUAGUCUAGGGUUUAAACUGACAAUUUCCAUGAGUUUUGUAUAUUCUGUAUUUUCCAAGGUCUAUUUUUAGAAAAGCUAAAAAGAGGGAUUCAAGUGCAAAAUAAAUACGAAACUUAUCCACCACGGAAAGAUCACGAUCGGGACGUUGGAAGACUCUAGAAGACACCCAAAGAGCUGGGGGGCCAAAGGCCGCCAGGUGGGGCCGGCUGGCCCCACCCUAGCACCGGUCGGUGCCCCAAUGUUAGGGUUUUGGCCCCCUUCUAGAAGCUUCCUCCACCGCCUAUGAGGAGUCAUCUUGGCCCUUGGUUAAGUCGGUUUGAUCCUGCGGCGCACGUCGAUCCCACCGGGUUAUAAAUAAAGGGGCAGACCCCCCUCCCUGGAGGCAUCAAGUCAUUUGGAGAUCAAUCCAUCAAGAGCCUUCUCUAGUUCAUCAGAGCCUCUCUAGUUCAUAGAUUUAGCCUAGUUAGAUUAGAAUUAGAAGAGUUCUAUGUUUUCUUUCCUUUUUUCUAUUUUUUACCAUUUAAUUAACUGAGGUAGGUAAUUUUGAAAUUUAGUUUUUAUUAUUAAAGGUACGUUGGUAACUGUUCUUUUAUCUUACUGUCCCUGGGCACCAUGAUUCUCUCUACCAGUAAGCACGUGUCACCGUUGAGCUUCUUCAUCUUCUCUGCACUAUGGGAUGACAUGAUGCGGUAACAUGCAACCAUCUGGUUAUCACUGAUGCAUGCACAUUGUUUGCACUUUUGCUUUUGCUUUUGCUUUGAUAAGAGAAUACAAGCAUAGCUCUUUGUUUGCUCUUUGGGCUGGAGCGAGUGAGAUAGCUUUUUGUUUUCUCUUUUGCAUGGGGCUGGAGCUACAGAAUAAAGCUAGAAUGAUGCAUCGGUCAUCCACCGUUCUGCCGCUAGGUGUGGGGACACGGAGCUGGCGUGUAGCUUCUGAUGCUUGGACCCAGUCGUGUGGGAGGGGCCGGAUCUGAAUCUUGCUGUGGCUGGGGCUGUGCACAGCAAAAACAACGUAGGAGCAAGGACCAGGCUAAGUUGCCCCCUGGGCCUAGCCCAUCAACUCCUCCUCGUGUAGGCCAUGAACUGAACAUGUCUAGUAUAACACUCCAAAUUUUUGAAUUUGAAAUUUAGCUUGAAUUUGAUUUAAUUUUGGCUUAGUUUGAAUUUUUGAGAAUUACUAAAUAAUUUACAAAAUUAAAUAAAAUGAAAUAUAAGGUAGAAAACUUGUUUGUGUGCAUUCAUGCUGCUGCAUAAUUUUUUCUUUUGACUUAUGUUUAUUUGAUUGUCUUUGUUUGAGUUUUGGAGCAAAAAAUAAAUAGGAGAAAUCUGUUAAAAAAAAAAGAAAAAGAAAAGGGGCAAGCGCCCUGGGCCGGCCUCCCCCCUCUCCCUGCACGCCCGCGUGGGCCUCUGCGGCCCAAGCCGCGGCCCAGCCACACAGCAGCUGCGCGCCCCUGCCCUUCUGCCGCCCGCUGCCGCUGACGGGUGGGGCCCACCCGUCAGAGCCGCCCCCAACCUCCCGUCCGAAACGGACGGGGCAGCCGCGCCGCCUCCCGGUUUCCGAGCCGCACGCGAACCCGAGGUUCGCCCGCGCCUAUAAAUAGCGUCCCUCAGUCGCGCACGCGCCCCUACGCAAACCCUAGCCGCUCUCGCCGAAUUCCGCAGCGCUGCCGCCGAACUCGUUGAAAUCCGCGCCGCCGCCGUCGAGCUUCUCUUUGCCGUCGACGUUUCGCGAAGGUGAGACCCCCAUUGCAUUUGCCUCGCCGAGCCGCACCCGCUGGUGCCCUUGCCUCGCCCUCUCGCGCCGCGGACCGCCGCCACGGCGAGCUCCCGCCCGCCGCCCAUGGCGCCACCGCCGCCCGGCCUGCGCCCGCUCUCGCUCCGGCGCGCGGUCCACCGUGGACCGCGGCUUGCCGCCCCCGCACGCCGGUUCACGUGGACCUGGCCCAUGCAGCCGGCUCGCCCGCUCCCGCAGGCGCGGGCCACCAUGGACCGCGGCCCCCCUGCCCCGCGCCCUGGUCCACCGCACAGUGCCGUGGACCGGCCAGCUCGCUGCCGCCACGUGGCCAACCUGGCCACGCGCCCGCGCCGCCCCCUGCACUUUUGCAGAAAAGCCCCUUCCUUUAUAGAAAAUUAACCCGCCAUCCUAUGCAGUUCAAAAAUAAUUAGUUUUAUGCCCUUAGUUUUGCGGUUUAACCCCUGGCUUGGUUAGAAUUUAUAGUUUUAAUCCAAAAUUCUUUUUAAUUCAGUUUUAAUUAGUUUUAAUUACGAAAAAUAGUUCAGUUUAUCUAUAGAUUUGCCAUCCAACUUGUUUUAGCCAUAACUUUUGCAUCGUAACUCCGAUUUAGGUGAUUCUGGUCGCUAUAGUUUCAUUUCGUCGAGUAGAAUACAGUAGUACAGUUGCUUUCUGUUUUCGCAUGCUUUGGUGUACUGUUUCUGAUUAAGCUUGUUUGCUUGCAUGUAUUGCUUCGUUUGUGUGAUGUUUGUCGCGUAUAGCCAACGAGACGUUCGUGAAGGAAGAGGAUCAGGAUCCCGCUGAGUUUGAGCAACCCGACAACGAUCAAGGCAAGUGCAGACACUGUUUGAUCAUUUUGAACCUAUUCGUUAAUGUCAUUUACUUUAUAUGCAUGUGUCCAAUGAAUGCAAACCCUAAGGACAUGACUAGCUUACUUAUCAUUCCUUGUUCACCUGGGGCUAUGUAUAUGGGUAGAAUAGGCUAUACUAGGUUUGCUUAGCUGCUCUACUCAUCUUAUACACAUGCCUAAACAAGUAAUAAUCUCUACUCAACUUGAUGCUUAAACUGUGCUGAACCUUUGGUCACUGCGGUGAUGGCGAUGAUGGAUGCUUACGAGCAUCGUGAUGAUGGUGGUGACAGGGGGAGCGGGUACCGUUGGUGGUCCGGUUUGCCGGGCGUACCCGUCUCUGCUCUCCGUAAGGACUUAGUCAGGGAGCGGCCCCCCUGGGACUUACAGUGCAGCUCCAAGCUAUAUGGCUCUGGCUUGACUAAUUAGCAGGACCUCCACUAGUAGGGUGUUACUUUCCGGGUAGGCGUGAGGAAGUAACUGUUGGGUAUUUUAAACGCAAACAGAAAAAUCCGCAAGCGCACGGAUACCGAUGUAGCUUUCACCCAGGAGUAUUCCAGAGUAUCGAUUUUCCACAGAGAACGUGAGUGUACUAAUUAAGAAUCAAGAUCGCCCAAGGAUAACUAUAUAAUUAUUUUUGGUGGGAAGAGAGGAAGUUUCCUGAGAGUUCUCUAGUUGAUCUAAGAAUCAAGAAUUACUUCAAGAUUAUCUAUAUCGGGACAUCAGAGCACUAACCACAGAAAGAGAUGAGAAGGGGGCUAGGAAGGUCUGACUACGGUCCUACAAACACCGAUCCGAACGUGGUGGAAUACGUCGACCGUUAGGGCUGUCACUACCCUAGGGCUACCACAACAAUCCGUAGGAUUGGGUGCAAUUCCAGGUAAUCGCAAGACUAAACACCACGUCUAAUCUAUUAAUUACUACUCUAGCGUUAUAAAGACUAGAGCACUUGAUGCAAGCGGGAAUCCAAUAAAUAACUUGAAUGUAAAUAAAAGUAAUUAGAGAACUCAGGAGUUAUGAAUUGAAGAACCUAGAGAACGAUGAAGAACGAACCAGUUGCUGCAAAAGUACAAUGUUGAGGAAGAUCCGACAGAUCCGGCUCCUCCUCCGCUCUCCUCUUCUCUCUCCCUAUUUUCUAGAUUACAACUAGAACUAACUAGAACUAGAACUAGAGGAACUAGAACUAGAACUAGAUGAACUAGAACUAGAUCUAGAUGAACUAGAGGUAGAACUAGAAGAACUAGAGAGAUCCUCUCUACUUGGAUGAAGAAUUGAAACCCUAACUUUGAUUCUGUAGAAGAGGUAUGAUCUCCAGGGGCCAGGGGGGUCUGGUUUUAUAGUCCCUUCAAGUGAAUCUGGGCCGUCGGAUUAAACCGACAUUGAUCGUGUGGUUUUCCUUGAAGUAUUAGGUCGGUGGAGCAUGAUCCCCGAACAUCACCCUGAUUGGUCCAGGGGGGAGGGCGGGCGCCCAGUAAGGGAGGGCGGGCGCCCAGUGCCCGGCUCCAUUACGUCUCCCGUUCGGUCCCGUGGCUUCUGGAGUCUUCUAGAUGAUAGAAAAUUGCGCGGCACGUUAAUAUCUCUAUGUAAACCCGACGUGUGGGCCUUUCUUCCGUAUUUCCUGAUAACCCCCUACAGAAAUAGACAAACACCAAAACUUGUGGAAUUCUAUCAAAUAAAACCCUAAGUCUAGGUGUUGGUUGCAUUUGGAUCCUUUUCCAUGAUUAGUUGAUGGUUAAUUGUGAGCAUUAAGGACCGUCAACAAGCUCCCCCAAGCUUAACCUUUGCUCGUCCCUGAGCAAAGCUAAAAUCAUCAAGAAAACAGGGGUUACUUUUAUGCCUUUUACUAAAGGGUUUUAAGUUAUCACUAAGGUCUUAAGUGAUUGAAAAACAGAAUGAUCAAGUCAAGCACUAUGUCUCAAGUUCUUCUGUCUUACCUUUGUUCUGGAGUUGUUUGUAAGUUUCCAAAAUAAAUCUGAGGCAUUUGCCUUCUUCUCGAAAGAUAUAUAUAAGUAGAGCUUUAAAAAUUUUAGCAUACUUACUUUGCAUUUUGCUAUGUCAAUGCUCGGAGCAAGGGAGAGGAAUGUCAUACUCCUAGAUCAAGACCUUUGACCUUUUUGAAGAGUUUGUCAUCUCUUACUGGCAUAUUGCUUAUUAGAGGGACCAUGGGCUAUCAUUUUUUUUCCUUUUUUUUCUCUUUUUUUAGUCUCUUUUUUUCAAGUGGGCAGCAAGUACCCCUAAUUCUACUGUCGGACACAUGUCCAUUUUUUUCCACUCAGGUGGGUAUCUUUGUACCCCUAAUUCUACUUCGGACACUUGUCCAUUUUUACCUCUCAUCUCACUCUUUUUUUUGAAUCAAAUUUUUGCAUAGUCCCAUGCCUCUAACGCAAUAAUACUUCGGAAGAGUGAAUCUUUUAUAUUUUUAAAACAAAAAGAUCUUGAUCUUGGGAGCAUGAUAAUUCUCUCAACCAAAACUACAAGAAUUAACAAUGGCUUGAACAAAGAAAGUACCCACAGUUUUAAUAUUUAUUUCUUAUAAGACUCUAGGUAUUAUGAUCUCAUAUAUUUUUUUUUAUGAAUUUUUAGAUUUUCAAAAGAUAAAAUCUCCAGAACUCUAGCAAAACUUGGAACAAGUUAAAUAGUAGCUCAGACCUUCUCAUAUCAUGUUUGUCAAUUACCUAGACUUGAAUCAAACUUUCUUUUUAUUUUAUUUCAAACUUAGUAUUACAUAAAACUAUUAUAUAUUUCUCAAAACAAAAACUGUGUUUGGUUUCAUGGUUAUGCAUUUUUUUUAUUUCUGAAUACUAGUAAAUAAAACUAAGAAAGAAAAAUAAUACUUAUAUUGAUUUAUUUUUUUUAUUUAGCAAACUAAGCAAAGAUAUAUAUAUAAGCAUAAAAUCUUUAUUUGGGUUUUUAUGAUUAUGCAUCUUUUUAUUAUUUGAGUAAAGUAUAAACGUGAGUAGAACACUUAGCUGGAUAAAUGGGGGUGCUCUCCCCCAAGCUGGAUUUUGACAUAAUUUCUUCUGAUGUAGCUAGCAGGUGGCGGAGGUGUAUUUGAAUGUCGGCACCACUCUGACAGCGAUUAGGAUGUCCUUCGUCUGCUAGUCUUCUUUGAUCCUUGAAUUCUGUGAAGCUCAAAUAGACAACAAAGCUUUGUGGAACUAGUUAAGUGUUAGCAUAAAUAUCUAGCCUUUAUCAUGUUGAGCCUCCUCAAUAAAUAUUACUCAUUAGUAGGAUCAUAAUUUUAUUUUUAUAAUUUUAUUUUUAUAGGACAGGAAUAUAUUUAUUUUAUUUUUAUGCCACCACAGUGAAUGUACUUAUGGGUUUUAUGCCAUGAGCAUACUCACAUGGGGCUUACUAUUUUUAACAUUUUUAUUUUCUUUUUAAGAUGAUAUGAACCUGAUUAACUAAGCAAACUAUUUUAAAUAAUUGAAAGGGAAAAAAGGAUAACUACCAAGUUUAACUCUUACCAAGGCGUUCGGUGUUUUUAAGUCCUCCGAACGGGACUCUCUAUUUUCUCAGUUGUCCUGGGAUUCGCUGGAUGGCGUAGUUAGUGGUUCCGGCAGCGCCUGGUCUUCAUGUAUAACUAUCUUCUCUCUCCACACCUGACACGGUGCUACGGUCUCCUCAGGAUAAUUCUGUUCAAGCUGUAUGUCUUCAGACCUUACUACUUCUCCUUCGUAGUCUGCCCAUCCGUCCUUGAUGAUUUGCCUCCUCUGGUUACGGUUGCGUCGUCUUCUUCUUGUCCUGACCUGCUUAGAGUCUUCAACUAUAUAGUUAAGGUCAGUAAAAUAGUGGCAUACCUUCUCAGAGGGGAAGUGCAUAUGGACUUCUCCGGUUCCAAUGUAGAUGAUUGCUUUAACGGUGCUGAGGAACGGUCUCGCAAGGAUGAUGGGUGAAUCGUACUCGUCUUCUCCGAUCUCAAUAACCUUCAACCUUUCGGAAUGUCUGAUAUGCUAUCUCGAGCUGAAUGUAUGUCGGUUUUAGGGGCAUGGUUCCGAACAGUAGCUGAUAGGUGACUGGGUCAUCCUUUUUGGUCAGGGACGGUGACUUAAGUCGACGAUCUUGACCUCCUUGAACUCCAGUGACCAUCUUAGCUUACUCGGUCUACAUUUGCUUGUUCCUGUUCCUCCUAUUGGUCCUCUUCCUUGGUUCAUGUCGGGAAUGCUCUGAGAUUGUGUAGUCUUGUUCUUGAAGGAAAAUGUCUCAUUUCUCCCUUUGAUGUAGAAACUGAUCAUGGCAGCACUAGCGUAGAUGACAGCUCCUGAGGUGUUCAGGAAUGGCCUCCCUAGGAUGAUGGGUGCCCUCUCAUCAGUACCAGUCUCUAUCACCAUGAAGUCUGCUGGGGCGUACAAGGUACCAACUCGGACGUAGAGGUUCUUCAAUAUUCCCGUUGGGAAACUUAGCGUACGAUCUGCAGGCUGCAAGCACACGGUUGUUUCUAGUAAAGGAUGUGUAAAGAAUUUUUCAUAGAGUACCCUGGGCAUAAUGUUGACACUGGAGCCAAAGUCGCAGAGUGCUUCUGGGAAGUCCACCAUGCCGAUGGAGAUCGGGAUGACGGGGCAUCCUGAGUUGUCUCUCUUGACCGGCAGAAGGUCAGUAAUUACUUCCACUACGGGGUUACUCCAGUAGUUACGUCCUGAAGCAUCUCAGGGCAGUGAUUGCCUGAGUGUCUAGUAUCUCCAGUGUGUUUGUGCUCCUAGAUCUAGGUUCUUCACUUGGUGGAGUCUGGGAGUUGUAAAACUCCUUCAUAUUUUGUUCGAAGUGUACCUGCUCAUAAAGACAAGGCAGAGAUCAAGUGCAUGGGCCCUGUUGGUGGAAAACACCAACAGAACCAAAAGUGUAUUUGUUCUUCUCUAACCUUAAGCAUAGUGAGCAAGACAAAGUUGAAGGAUAAUAAGAUCACGAGUGUAGCAUUUAAAGCAUUUGUCAGAUCAGAUCGCUCAACCUAAUGGAAAGAUAAUCUAUCUAUAUUUAUGUUGUUUUGUUUUUUUUUAUAAAAUAUAUCUUCCAAAGAUUGAGUGUGCAACAUUUUAGCUCAUAUGAUUACGAUUGUGGGAUCACAAAGGUGGAAGGACUAAACAUGUUGAAUCGAUUGGGUUCAUUAAUCUAGAGUUGUAAAUCAUACAUGUUUGUCUCUUUUAUUCAUGUGAACGCCAGAACCAAGGAGAAGCUUAUAAAAGUGAUAGUCAAGUACCUUAAGAUGUUACCUUACUUGAAGAGUGAUGGUACAGUAACACCUUGUGGAAGCUUUCCUUUCUUAGCGGUUGUGCAUCGUGUUUGUGGCACCCUCCAUGGAUCAUCUCUUGUGAGCUAUGCCUUCCUUGUGUAAAUUGUUAAACUUCAUGUGCCUCUCUCUUUGUCUCCAAUGUGAGUUUGUCUCAGGACUUCCCAGGUCGAUAUUGAAAGUUUUCCUGCAGGGGUUAGUCCAACAAAAUAUCCAAUAUCUACUAUAGCAUACUAUCGGCUCAAAAAUCAACCUAGACACCAUGUCUAAUUUGAUUCAGGAGGGCUUUUUUAACCUAAGCACCAUGCUUAAUUUAAAACCCCUUGGAAGUAAGAUCAUCAUUCCUAACCUAAGCACCAAGCUCAAUUAAGAGAUAAAUGAAACUACUCCAAACCUAGACAUAUACUAAAGCAAAUAAAGGUAGCAUGAGAGCAUUUAUAGAGAUCUAUUCAAGUGGAGAUGAAGUAGUGUGAUUAGUAUUUAACAAAUUGAGCAUGUCUCAAUGGUAGGGUCGACCAAUAUAGCAACAUGGCAAAGGAUGUUUUUAUAUAAAGUACUCCCUAAAGCUUGAAUUUUGCAAAAUUCAAGUUUGGAUGAAUUUAAUUCAAUGUUGUAUGAUGAUUGGUUGUACAUACCUUGUGCUUGUCAUUCAUCCGAUCUUCUUGCUCCAAUCCUGGAAAGGUUAGUGACAAGAAUACCCGAAGGAAUAUUUUUACAAUUAUCCUUAUAUGCUCAACACACAAGGUAAUGUUGUAAAUAAUUAAAAUCUCAUGUUGCAAUCUGAUCAGUGCUUGUUUUAGGACACUAAGCUUGUCCUUGGGAAACCAUCAAUUUAUGUCAGUGAAGUGGUUUCCCCUCCAACGCUGACCUAUAUCAAGAUCAACUCAACGAGAUCUGCAAAAUUUAUUAUAAACAUAUGCAUCGACAACCGCCCUUUUAAAGUUUUUAUAAAUAGAAAGGAAGAGGGGGUUGGAGAUCUCGAAUGUGGUGAUGUUGGAGAGACCAAUGGAUUGUGAAGAUGUUGCAUAUGAGCAUGGAGUAAAUGAAGUGGCUAUGAAAUAAAUUCCAUGCUCAUUAAUGCUUAGAGUGAAAUCCAUGUGGUACGGUGAAAAUGAUAAGGUGAGUGUGGUAAAAAAAGAAAACAAAAAGGAUAUACGGGCGACUUGGUUCGAAACUAGCACAGCUACCGUUCCCCGGCAACGGCGCUAGAAAGCUUGUUGGGUAUUUUAAACGCAAACAAAAAAAUCCGCAAGCGCACGGAUACCGAUGUAGCUUUCACCCGGGAGUAUUCCAGAGUAUCGAUUUUCCACAAAGAACGUGAGUGUACUAAUUAAGAAUCAAGAUCACCCAAGGAUAACAAUAUAAUUAUUUUUGGUGGGAAGAGAGGAAGUUUCCUGAGAGUUCUCUAGUUGAUCUAAGAAUCAAGAAUUACUUCAAGAUUAUCUAUAUCGGGACAUCAGAGCACUAACCAGAGAAAGAGAUGAGAAGGGGGCUAGGAAGGUCUGACUACGGUCCUACAAACACCGAUCCGAACGUGGUGGAAUACGUCGACCGUUAGGGCUGUCACUACCCUAGGGCUACCACAACAAUCCGUAGGAUUGGGUGCAAUUCCAGGUAAUCGCAAGACUAAACACCACGUCUAAUCUAUUAAUUACUACUCUAGCGUUAUAAAGACUAGAGCACUUGAUGCAAGCGGGAAUCCAAUAAAUAACUUGAAUGUAAAUAAAAGUAAUUAGAGAACUCAGGAGUUAUGAAUUGAAGAACCUGGAGAACGAUGAAGAACGAACCAGUUGCUGCAAAAGUACAAUGUUGAGGAAGAUCCGACAGAUCCGGCUCCUCCUCCGCUCUCCUCUUCUCUCUCCCUAUUUUCUAGAUUACAACUAGAACUAACUAGAACUAGAACUAGAGGAACUAGAACUAGAACUAGAUGAACUAGAACUAGAUCUAGAUGAACUAGAGGUAGAACUAGAAGAACUAGAGAGAUCCUCUCUACUUGGAUGAAGAAUUGAAACCCUAACUUUGAUUCUGUAGAAGAGGUAUGAUCUCCAGGGGCCAGGGGGGUCUGGUUUUAUAGUCCCUUCAAGUGAAUCUGGGCCGUCGGAUUAAACCGACAUUGAUCGUGUGGUUUUCCUUGAAGUAUUAGGUCGGUGGAGCAUGAUCCCCGAACAUCACCCUGAUUGGUCCAGGGGGGAGGGCGGGCGCCCAGUAAGGGAGGGAGGGCGCCCAGUGCCCGGCUCCGUUACGUCUCCCGUUCGGUCCCAUGGCUUCUGGAGUCUUCUAGAUGAUAGAAAAUUGCGCGGCACGUUAAUAUCUCUAUGUAAACCCGACGUGUGGGCCUUUCUUCCGUAUUUCCUGAUAACCCCCUACAGAAAUAGACAAACACCAAAACUUGUGGAAUUCUGUCAAAUAAAACCCUAAGUCUAGGUGUUGGUUGCAUUUGGAUCCUUUUCCAUGAUUAGUUGAUGGUUAAUUGUGAGCAUUAAGGACCGUCAACAGUAACUUGGGUAAUGAAUAUUAAGUUGUCGGUUGAUCGGUACGCCAUGGCUAUGUGUAUCGACUGUCGAGCGCCUCGGCGAAAACUUGCGAGUGGCAUCCUAUUAGUUGGACCCUGUGAAAGGUCUCAUAGUGAGACCCUGCCUGCUCACCUUGGAAGUGUUUUGGGGAGUCGCGACCCCGGGCAAAUGGGAAUCACGACUUGGAGUGAACGUGCACACCUCUGCAGAGUGUAAAACUGAUAUAUCAGCCGUGCUCACGGUCACGAGCGGCCCAGACCCUCACUUGAUGAGCAAAUUGGAUUCACUGGAUACUUGGAGAUGGACCUUGGCGAGGUUGCUACCUCGUGUUUUGGCGGAAUGGCUAUUCCGUGUUGGCAGGAUUGCUAUCCUGUGUUAAUAAUUGGGGUUAAUCCCUAGAUUACUAUAAUAAUUAGGAUAGUACUUUAAAAGAUGCUAAUUACUACUUACACUAAUUAAGGGUUGGGUUUAUGCUACUCAUAAUUAGUAAUAGGUUGUUCUUAUAAUAGUCAUAAUUAAAAGUGAUCAACUAAAAUGCUACCGCAGUCAAACCAAGUCAGCUUUACCUUGUUUUAAGCCUUGCAUGUCAUUACUUUCUGUCAGUGCUUGCUGAGUUCGACAUGAGCUCACCCUUGCUAUAAUCAUUAAAGGUUGCUCGGACGAUCAGGAGUACAAUUACGAUUUCCCUGAGGACUACCCUGAGUCUCCUGGUUGUUAGGCUCGUGUGGUUCUGCCGUCGACCUUCCUGUGGCAAGGUGGUCCUGCUACGUCGGCGUUUAGUUUCCCCUUUAAUUAUGGAGCAGCUUAGCUUAUGUUUCCCCUUCGCACUUUGAUAAACAUUUGGCUUGUAAUAAUGGUACAUUUACUCUCAUUUAUGUAAUUCGUUUGAACACUGUGUCUUGUACCAUUGAUGAUGUCGGUCCAUGUGUGUGAAUUUGAGAUCCUGGCGCACAUGUGAUUUGGCACCCGAAUGCUCUUUUACAUCCGGGUGUGACAGAAGUGGUAUCAAAGCCGUGUUGACCGUAGGAUCACGCAGCCUAGUUAGAAACAGCCGUUUAGAUUGUCCCUUUUGGGUGGAAUACACCAUUGGAUCUACUAACUACCUUACUAACAUGUCUCAUUAGACUUUACCUAUUAGCCUUAUCUACUUACUUUUACUAACAGUUCAGUUUUAUUCACUCUACUUCCUGCAUUUAUUACCUUGUCAUCAUUUAUUACUUCCUGCUUCUCAUAUUGCAUUUAUAUUCUUGUUUCAACUUUUAUUACUUAUUAUUUGAACCUUUCUUGUAUACCUUGUCUUUUAUUAUCAUUCUACUCAUAUUACCUUCUUGUUCCUUGUUUUUCAUUUAUUACUUGAAUUAUGUAUUAUUUCUGCCUUGACAAUAAAUUUCAUUACCUUGUUUUUACUUUAUACCUUCAUUACUUGCUUUCAUAUCUUACCAUAAAUACCACCAAAGUUCAUAUUGUCCAUCCAUUGUAUAAUCUUGGUUCAUCUUCAUUACACAUACACUUUUACUUUCAUUUAUAUUAUUCAUAUAUCUAUCUUUGUCAUGAUCUAUUAACCGUUUCCUGUAUGUCUAUGAUCUUAUGCAUAAGUAGAUGACUCGCCAUUUGACUUGCCGCAAGAGCGUCAUUCGUUUCUGUCCCGUUCAAGCUGUGGAGUUCUCGUUGACUGGUCGCGUGGAUAACAUCGUGUUCCAGCCUAACCAGCAUCUUGAUGACGGUGCUAAUCUCCAAGGCGCGGAACCCUAUGAAGGACAGCAACCACCUCAAGCUCUGGUAGUGCAUGGAAGGGCGCCUUGCUGGGCAGCUGGAGGAGAUGAUCCCUUCGGUGAUGACGAUGACAUGGAUGAUGAUGAUGAGGAUGCACCUGGAGGACCUGGAGGUCAAGAUGGACUUUUUGCUGCUGAUGAUGGGUGGAUCGUGACUGUCUGCACAAGGGAUGGUGGAGGGUGUUUCUUCCACAGCGAGCUGAAGCAUCUCCUUGACCAACAACUAGGACAUGGCAUGUUCUCAGUGGAGUACUGCAGUCAGCACUGGAGUCACCCAGACUACCCGGCGUACUGGAAGGUCUGGGCAGACGUCGGCAGGCCUAACCCAACGCUGAGGGCACUGAGGAUCAUGUCCAUACAUGAAGCUAUGGCAGAGAGGUCUACCCAGAUGGCGGGCAUUAAUGAUGCUGCUCGUCAGGCUUUCUACGCAUACCGUGAUCACUUCUUCGAGGAGAUCAGCCAGGAUGAACGUCGCUACUACCCUCGCCGUCGCCGUGGAGAGUUGGUGAUGACUAUUGCUUCCACCACUGAUGAGCAGGACCCCCGCAUGCACAGGACUGUCAAGCUGGUGGCGGUCACUAACACUGAGCUCAACAGUUCACUAGUGGAGCUGAAGCAAGUGAGGAAGGAGCUAGAUGACGCCAGGAAGAGGAUAGCGCAGCUGGAGGCUCAGAUCACUGGAGUGCCGCCGCCUUCACCUAAGUGGCCUGCUUUCUCUCCGCCUCGUGAAGAUCCAGCCUAUGGAGAUGCCAGCGCUCGUACUACUAUAGAAUAGGAGCUAUUCCCAGCUUAGUAAUAAAUAGUGCCACGCUUAGAACGUUAGCACGAUCUUAGUUAUGCGAGUCUAUUGCUUAGUGGUUUGCUUAGUGUGCUUUGCUUGGUCUGUGUGAGAACUUGAUUUAUUAUUGUGAUAAUGGUGUGAUUUGGAUCUUUGUAAUGAGUGCGAUGAGUUGUGGGUUAUGUCCACAACGCAUCAAGAACAAGAUUAAGUAUUAAGUUAAUAUGAGAUAGUUAGUUUAGGUUAUUAUCGGUCUCCUUUAUUUGUGCUUUAUCAUAUUUCAUAUCGCUUUAUCUUAUCAGUCUUACUCUAUCAUGAUCAGUUCAUUAUCUAUAUAUUACAUCUGUUAUGAGUACUGUGUUGAUCAACUGAAAAAGGGAAGUUACUACCAGCUGGUUCACACUUUGAGGAAAGAGUAUGACUUUGCAGUUUACAUUACAGCUCAGGUUUACGCAUAUGAACUACAUCUGAUUUUAUUAUAUUAUUUCUAUACAUCAGAUGCCUGUCAACACUAGGAGCAACACCAAUGGAGGAAACAAUGAGCAGUCCAACAACAACAACAAUAACAACAAUGAUCACAGCGGGAUUAAUGCCAACCCUCCUCAUCUGAAUCAGCCCAUGACCAUAGAGCAGCUGAUGACUAUGCAGACUUAGCUGAUGCAAGGGAUGACACAUAUUAUGAACAACAUGCAGCAGAACCAAAAUCAGAAUCAGCAUCACAAUCAGAACCAGCAUCAAGGAGGUAACAACGCGUUUGCCUCACCUAGGGACAAGCGUGGAGAGUUCAUGAAGGGACGUCCACCGUUCUUCUCUCACUCAGCUGACCCUAUGCAAGCUGAGGAUUGGCUUAAAGCUGUGGAGAAGUAGCUGGUCAUUGCUCAGUGCAAUGACAGGGAAAAGGUUCUGUAUGGCUCUAGGCAGCUUCAGGGAGCCGCACAGGAUUGGUGGGAUUCGUACUGCUUUGCGCAUCAGGACCCAGAUACUAUCACUUGGGAUGAGUUCAAGGUCGCCUUCAAGACUCAUCAUGUGCCUGCUCGAUUGGUGAAGCUGAAGAAGAAGGAGUUUCUGUCUCUGAAGCAGGGCUCCAUGAUAGUUUGUGAGUACCGCGACAAGUUCACUCAAUUGUCGCAGUAUUGCCCGAAUGAGGUGGAGAACGAUGAAGACAAGCAAGAUCACUUCCUGGAAGGUUUUAAUGAUGGUCUGUCUUACAUGAUGUCAAAUGUCAAGUAUGCCAGCUUCCAAGAGAUGGUGGACAGGGCAUUGGUGCUUGAAAGCGCCGCAAGAUGGAAGACAAGAAGAGGAAGUAUAAUUCCUCUUAGCAGCAGGCUGGUGCCAGCCGUCCCCGCUACAACAAUCAGCAAGGCCCUCAGUCUCGCCCUGCAUAUCAGUCUGGUAACCAAGGACAGCAGCAGAAUGUCAGGUACAGUAAUCAGAGUCAGCAGACGAGUCAGCGCUACAACAACAACCAAGUGCAGCGCCCCGCUAGUCAGGCGACUCGUCAGAAUGCCCCAGCACCAUCAGGCUCUCGCCAGAACUCCAACACUGUCCCAGCAAAGCCCAAUGCCAACCCCACCCCCACUGGAAAUACCUGCUUCAAGUGUGGUCAGCUUGGACACUACGCGAAUGCUUGCCCCCAGAGACAGAAGAACAACAAUGGAAGGGUGAAUCAUGUGAAGCUGGAAACUGCUGAGGAGGCUCCAGAUGUGGUAGUUGGUACGUUCCUUGUCAACUCUUGCCCAACUACUGUUUUGUUUUAUACUGGAGCAUCACAUACUUUUAUAAGUGCACAGUUUGUUGAGAAACAUAGUAUAGCCACCUGUACCAUGCAAAACACCAUGAUAGUUAAAUCACCUGGGGGAAAGAUGCAUACUAAUACUUUGUGUCCGGGAAUGAGCAUUAAAAUAAGGGGGGUAGAUUUUCCUGUCAAUCCUAUUGUGUUGGGUUCAGAAGGUUUAGAUAUGAUAUUGGGAAUGAGAUGGUUGUCCAAGUUUAAGGGUACUAUUCAGUGUGCUGAGAAGUUAGUUGCUCUAACAGCACCUAGUGGGAACAGAAUUGAGGUCAUAGUUACUAUGUCACCUAGCAGUGAAGGAACAGUUUACCAUGUGAGCAGUGGGUCAGUAGAGGAUAUUCGAGUUGUGAAAGAAUUCCCUGAUGUGUUCCCAGAGGAUUUGCCAGGUAUGCCACCUGAACGUGAGAUUGAAUUUGUUAUUGAUUUAUUACCUGGUACUGCACCCAUAUCUAAGAGACCUUAUAGAAUGGCUGUUAAUGAGUUAGAAGAACUUAAGAAACAACUAAGGGAGUUACAGUCUAAGGGGUAUAUCCGUCCUAGUUCCUCACCUUGGGGAGCCCCAGUUAUUUUUGUAGAGAAGAAGGAUGGAACACAGAGGAUGUGUGUAGACUAUAGAUCUUUGAAUGAGGUCACAAUUAAGAACAAAUACCCUUUGCCUAGAAUAGAGGACUUGUUUGACCAGUUAAAAGGAGCUUGUGUGUUUUCCAAGAUAGAUCUGAGAUCAGGUUAUCACCAGUUGAGGAUUAAACCUAGUGAUAUUCCAAAGACUGCCUUCACCACCAGAUAUGGACUUUAUGAGUAUACAGUUAUGUCUUUUGGGUUAACUAAUGCUCCAGCUUACUUUAUGUAUCUGAUGAAUAAAGUUUUUAUGGAGUAUUUGGAUAAGUUUGUGGUAGUCUUUAUUGAUGAUAUCUUGAUCAACUCCAAGACUGAGGAAGAACAUGAGGAACACCUGAGGCUUGUGUUGCAGAAAUUGAGGUAACAUCAGCUCUAUGCCAAGUUGAGUAAGUGUGACUUCUGGUUGAAGGAAGUGUCUUUUCUUGGUCAUGUCAUUUCAAAUGGUGGAGUUGCUGUUAGUCCGAAGAAUGUGGCAGAUGUUCUUAAGUGGAGUCCGCCUCAGACUGUUGGAGAAAUCAUAAGUUUUCUUGGAAUGGCUGGUUACUAUCGGAGAUUCAUUGAAGGAUUUUCCAGUAUUGCUAAGCCCAUGACUGCUUUGCUAGAGAAGGGUAAGCCAUUCAAGUGGAAUGAACAGUGUCAGGCUAGCUUUGAGGAGUUGAAGAAGAGGUUGACUACUGCACCAAUUCUGACUUUGCCUGAUGUGACUAAAAGUUUUUCUAUCUAUUGUGAUGCUUCCAAGCAAGGUUUGGGAUGUGUACUGAUGCAAGAGGGAAAGGUGAUUGCCUAUGCAUCUAGACAGUUGAAGAAACAUGAGGUGAAUUAUCCAACUCAUGAUCUUGAGUUAGCAGCAGUGGUCCAUUCACUGAAGAUCUGGAGACACUAUAUUUUGGGUCAUAAGUGUGAUAUCUACACGGAUCACAAGAGUCUGAAAUACAUCUUCACUUAGAAUGACUUGAACCUGAGACAGAGAAGAUGGUUAGAAUUGAUCAAGGACUAUGAACUAGAGAUUCAUUACCACCCUGGCAAAGCGAAUGUAGUUGCUGAUGCUCUGAGUAGAAAGAGUCAAGUGAAUAUGUUGGAAGCCACGGAGUUACCGAUGGAACUACUGGCAGAAUUUGAGUAUCUCAAUUUGAGGUUUGUUGCUAACACCCAAGGUACUUCCAUGGACAUAGAACCAACUCUUGAGCAAGAGAUCAGAAAAGGUCAGAAAGAGGAUGAAGAGAUCAAAAAGAUACUUAAGCUAUUAGAGGAAGGUAGAGCACCUGGAUUCAAAGUUGAUCAAGAAGGAAUUGUUUGGCAUAAGGACCGAUUGUGUGUGCCUGAUAUUCAGAGAAUCAAGGAUGUGAUACUGAAGGAGUGCCAUGAAUCUGCUUACUCUAUUCAUCCAGGAGGUACUAAGAUGUACCAGGACUUGAAACAAAACUAUUGGUGGCCUGGUAUGAAGAAAGAUAUUGGUGAGUAUGUGGCAUUGUGUGACACCUGUCACAGAGUGAAAGCGGAACAUCAGAGGCCAGCAGGAUUGUUGCAACCGUUGAAGAUACCUGAGUGGAAGUGGGAUGAGAUCAGCAUGGGCUUCAUAGUGGGAUUGCCGAGAUCUCAACGAGGAUAUGACUCGAUAUGGGUUGUAGUAGAUCGAUUGACCAAGGUAGCUCAUUUCAUACCGGUCAAGACUACCUAUCGUGGGGAUCAGUUAGCAGAGAAGUAUAUGGAACGGAUUGUGUGUCUGCAUGGAGUUCCUAAGAGGAUUGUGUCUGAUAGAGGUACACAGUUUACAUCAAAGUUUUGGGAGAAGUUACAUGAUGCUUUGGGAACCGAGCUCAGAUUCAGUACAGCUUAUCACCCUCAGUCCGAUGGUCAGACAGAGAGAGUCAACCAAAUAGUGGAGGAUAUGCUCAGGUCUUGUGCUUUACAGUAUGGGGAUAGUUGGGAUACUAGUUUGCCCUACGCCGAGUUCUCCUAUAACAAUAGUUAUCAGACUAGUCUUAAGAUGACUCCUUUUGAAGCCUUGUAUGGAAGGAAGUGUAGGACUCCAUUGUUCUGGAACCAGACUGGUGAAAGGCAAGUGUUCGGCCCUGAUUCAUUGAGAAUAGCCGAAGAAAGGGUUUAGUUAAUCCGACAGACUCUGAAAGCAGCUCAGUCUAGACAGAAGAGUUAUGCAGAUGUGAGACGAAGGGAACUUGUGUUUCAGGCAGGUGAUUAUGUAUACCUGAAAGUGUCUCCGAUGAGAGGCCUAAAGAGGUUCAAUGUCAAGGGAAAGCUAGCUCCAAGGUAUGUUGGUCCUUUCAAGAUUUUGGAGAGGAAAGGAGAGGUGGCUUAUGAGCUUGAGCUGCCUGUUAGUUUAUCCAAUGUGCACAAUGUCUUCCAUGUCUCCCAAUUCAAGAAAUGCUUGAGAGUGCCUGAGGAACAGUUGCCACUAGAGGAACUGGAUUUACAGGAUGAUCUAACUUAUGAAGAGAGUCCUAUCAAAGUUCUGGACAUAGCAGAGAGAAUUACCAGGAGUAAAACUAUUAGGAUGUGUAAAGUACAAUGGAAACACCAUUCUGAGGAAGAGGCAACAUGGGAAAGAGAAGAUGAUCUGAAAUCCAAAUACCCUCAGUUAUUCCCUGGUUCAUCCUAAUCUCGAGGACGAGAUUCUUUUAAGGGGGUAGGUUUAUAACACUCCAAAUUUUUGAAUUUGAUUUAAUUUUGGCUUAGUUUGAAUUUUUGAGAAUUACUAAAUAAUUUACAAAAUUAAAUAAAAUGAAAUAUAAGGUAGAAAACUUGUUUGUGUGCAUUCAUACUGCUGCAUAAUUUUUUCUUUUGACUUAUGUUUAUUUGCUUGUCUUUGUUUGAGUUUUGGAGCAAGAAAUAAAUAGGAGAAAUCUGUUAAAAAAAAGAAAAAGAAAAGGGGCAAGCGCCCUGGGCCGGCCUCCCCCCUCUCCCUGCACGCCCGCGUGGGCCUCUGCGGCCCAAGCCGCGGCCCAGCCGCACAACAGCUGCGCGUCCCUGCCCUCCUGCCGCCCGCUGCCGCUGACGGGUGGGCCCCACCCGUCAGAGCCGCCCCCAACCUCCCGUCCGAAACGGACGGCGCAGCCGCGCCGCCUCCCGGUUUCCGAGCCGCACGCGAACCGAGGUUCGCCCGCGCCUAUAAAUAGCGUCCCUCAGUCGCGCACGCGCCCCUACGCAAACCCUAGCCGCUCUCGCCGAAUUCCACAGCGCCGCCGCCGAACUCGUCGAAAUCCGCGCCGCCGCCGUCGAGCUUCUCUUUGCCGUCGACGUUUCGCGAAGGUGAGACCCCCAUUGCGUUCGCCUCGCCGAGCCGCACCCGCUGGUGCCCUUGCCUCGCCCUCUCGCGCCGCGGACCGCCGCCACGGCGAGCUCCCGCCCGCCGCCCAUGGCGCCACCGCCGCCCGGCCUGCGCCCGCUCCCGCUCCGGCGCGCGGUCCACCGUGGACCGCGGCUUGCCGCCCCCGCACGCCGGUUCACGUGGACCCGGCCCAUGCAGCCGGCUCGCCCGCUCCCGCAGGCGCGGUCCACCAUGGACCGCGGCCCCCCUGCCCCGCGCCCCGGUCCACCGCACAGUGCCGUGGACCGGCCAGCCCGCCACCGCCACGUGGCCAACCUGGCCACGCGCUCGCGCCGCCCCCUGCACUUUUGCAGAAAAGCCCCUCCCUUUAUAGAAAAUUAACCCGCCAUCCUAUGCAGUUCAAAAAUAAUUAGUUUUAUGCCCUUAGUUUUGCGGUUUAACCCCUGGCUUGGUUAGAAUUUAUAGUUUUAAUCCAAAAUGCUUUUUAAUUCAGUUUUAAUUAGUUUUAAUUACGAAAAAUAGUUCAGUUUAUCUAUAGAUUUGCCAUCCAACUUGUUUUAGCCAUAACUUUUGCAUCGUAACUCCGAUUUAGGUGAUUCUGGUCGUUUCGUUUCGUCGAGUAGAAUACAGUAGUACAGUUGCUUUCUGUUUUCACAUGCUUUGGCGUACUGUUUCUGAUUAAGCUUGUUUGCUUGCAUGUAUUGCUUCGUUUGUGUGAUGUUUGUCGCGUAUAGCCAACGAGACGUUCGUGAAGGAAGAGGAUCAGGAUCCCGCUGAGUUUGAGCAACCCGACAACGAUCCAGGCAAGUGCAGACACCGUUUGAUCAUUUUGAACCUAUUCGUUAAUGUCAUUUACUUUAUAUGCAUGUGUCUAAUGAAUGCAAACCCUAAGGACAUGACUAGCUUACUUAUUAUUCCUUGUUCACCUGGGGCUAUGUAUAUGGGUAGACUAGGCUAUACUAGGUUUGCUUAGCUGCUCUACUCAUCUUAUACACAUGCCUAAACAAGUAAUAAUCUCUACUCAACUUGAUGCUUAAACUGUGCUGAACCUUUGGUCACUGCGGUGAUGGCGAUGAUGGAUGCUUACGAGCAUCGUAAUGAUGGUGGUGACAGGGGGAGCGGGUACCGUUGGUGGUCCGGUUUGCCGGGCGUACCCGUCUCUGCUCUCCGUAAGGACUUAGUCAGGGAGCGCCCCCCCUGGGACUUACAGUGCAGCUCCAAGCUAUAUGGCUCUAGCUUGACUAAUUAGCAGGACCUCCACUAGUAGGGUGUUACUUUCCGGGUAGGCGUGAGGAAGUAACUUGGGUAAUGAAUAUUAAGUUGUCGGUUGAUCGGUACGCCAUGGCUAUGGGUACCGACUGUCGAGCGCCCCAGCAAAAACUUGCGAGUGGCAUCCUAUUAGUGGCAUCCUGCUACGUCGGUGUUUAGUUUCCCCUUUAAUUAUGGAGCAGUUUAGCUUAUGUUUCCCCUUCGCACUUUGAUAAACAUUUGGCUUGUAAUAAUGGUACAUUUACUCUCAUUUAUGUAAUUCGUUUGAACACUGUGUCUUGUACCAUUGAUGAUGUCGGUACAUGUGUGUGAAUUUGAGAUCCUGGCGCACAUGUGAUUUGGCACCCGAAUGCUCUUUUACAUCCAGGUGUGACAUCUAGUCAUCGAACGGAGCCUGCCACCCCAAUCACCUUGAAUUUGGGUCUAGAUUGUGACCAGGUGGCUCCGCCUUCUGAGUCAUGCUCCGUUUUGUCCUUCAUCAACAAGGAUGAUGGUGCCUCUGCCAACGCUGAUCGUCCCUUCACAGCCACCUAUGUGUGUGGCCAGACUGGACACACGCAACGACACAGACCUAGUGCGUAAGAGGAGUGCAAGACUAGCUGCCAAAAGCGGGUUCUGGGCUAUCAAGCCGGACGCUCAGGCUAGGAAGAUUCUGAUGAAAACGUUGGGCGAGGAUGUCUCAACAGAAAAGCCGGAUGAGGCGGCGUUUGAGGAGUAUUAUGUGGCCUUCUAUUUGCCGCUUGAUCCUACCAGGCGCAAAGGGAUGUGUGAGCUGUUCCUAGGUCAUCGGGGCCGUCAUCGCGUGACUUCGAAGGUGGUCGCCUAAACCCCAUGGUCUACCGUCGCUAACAUUGUAUCUGAUGAAUAGUUCUAGAAUUUUGAUUUGGAAUGUGUGUGGCAUUAAUAUGUGUGCGCAUCGUAGCGUCAUCCAUGGAGCUUUUUGGAAAUAGACCAUUAUGAGAAGUGGGCUUCGGUGAUAUGCCAUUCCACAACAGGGCUUCGCUAACUUGCCAUUAUAAAACACGACCCACCCGCUAGAAUGCCAUACGAUGCCCUUAAACAAAAUUUUUUGACUCAUGUAAUGCUGUCCUUUCCUUGUUCCUUUCGUAGGUGCACAGUUGGACAGAACGGACUCGCACAAAACAGAUCGAGUAGCUUCUUCUUUGACUUUGUGCGCUUCUUCUCCGCCCCCACGGCAGUGCUGCAACCCACCAAUCUGUUCUAGCUCUCGCAUGCUCGCUCACCUCCCCACGCCCUCAAUGCCCAGCAUCGCCCAAAUGGCCUGCUCGCCAUGGUCGGCCCUAGCUCGGACAAGAAGCAAUAGCUCGAAGAGGGGAGGGAGCACAGGGAGGGGCAGCACUAUGGGGGAGAGCUGACCGCGGUGGGGGCACUUGUCUUGGGGAUCUUCUCACCAUGGGGGCACUCGUCAUGGGGACACCCAGGACAUAACCAGGUACCCAGCUCCAGCCGAUCCAUUCUACGAAGGUUCGACCCCCUUCAUUCUAUCACAGGCAUGAGCUCCAAGAAGAAGAAGAAGAUAAGGACCAGGGGCAUAAGAGGAAUAAAAGGACUCUAAGGGCAUCAGAUGGUAUUCUAGCGGGUAGGUCAUGUUUCAUAAUGGUAAGUUAGCGAAGCCCCGUUGCGUGAUGUCAUAUCAUCGAAGCCCACUUCUCGUAAUCACUACCGGAACCCCUAGCUAUGCCGUGAGCUAGGGACUUUGCCGUGUGCUUCCCAUUAGGCACACGGCAAAGAUCAAUUUUGCCAAGCACCAUAAGCCCGGCACACGGCAUAUCGAAAACUCUCGGCAUAAACAUGGACAUCGAUACAGUCCUGAUAAGAUGGUACAUCCUUCGAAUGGUGAAGCAUGGACCUAUUUUGUUAGUAUUCAUCAUGAGAAAGCUCUAGAGGCUCGUAAUGUACGUGUUGCCUUUGCCACAGAUGGGUUCAAUCCUUAUGGAAUGAUGGCUUCCCCAUACACUUGUUGGUCCGUGUUUGUGAUACCACUCAAUCUUUCUCCCGGUGUAUGCUUUCAAGCACAGAACAUAUUUUUGUCUUUGAUAAUUCCUGGUCAUCCGGGCAAUAAUAUGGGUGUGUAUAUGGCGCCUCUGAUCGAUGAAUUGAUCAAAUCUUGGGAUGAAGGGGUGUUGACAUAUGACCGAGCUACAAAAACCAACUUCACGAUGCAUGUUUGGUACCACUACUCCCUGCAUGACUUCUUGGCAUAUGGGAUUCACUACAGCUGGUGUGUUCAUGGGAAGUUUCCAUGCGCAAUAUGCAAGACAAAUGUCCAGUUCAUUUGGUUGAAGAAGGGAGGCAAAUAUUCUUCAUUUGACAAACAUCGACAAUUCCUCCCAAUUGAACAUGCAUUUAGAUGAGACAUCAAGAACUUUACGAAAGAUGUGGUAGUUACAAACCCGCCACCGGCGAUGAUGAUGGGUGCUGAGGUCCGUGCUGUCAUCAACAUGCAUGGACACAUAAGUCGCGCUUGGAGAGGCUCCCCUAUUACCUAGACCUGCUACUUCCACAUAACAUUGAUGUAAUGCACACUAAAAAAAUAUCACUGAGGCACUCUAGGAACAAUCAUGGACAUUCAGGAUAAGUCAAAAGAUAAUGCGAAGGCUAGAAUUGAUUUGGCAACAUUAUGUGACAAACCAAAUCAAGAAAUGCGGCCACCUAGGGUAGGCAAGAAUUGGAGACGACCUCUGGCCGAUUACAUGUUGACCAGGCCUCAAAGGAGAGAAGUACUGGAAUGGUUCCAAAAGUUAAUGUUUCCUAAUGGGUAUGUAGCGAAUCUGAGAAGGGGAGUGAACUUGUCUACUAUGCGAAUCAAUGGGCUUAAGAGUCAUGACUACCACAUCUGGAUUCAACGGCUUCUUCCAGUGAUGGUACGAGGCUAUGUCGCAGAUCAUGUGUGGCAAGUGCUUGCAGAAUUAAGAAAUUUCUUCCGAUAGCUUUGUGCUAAGGAGUUAUCUCGGUCCGUGGUUAAAGACCUAGAAAAAAUGGCACCUGUGUUGCUCUAUAAGUCGGAGAAGAUCUUCCCACCAGGCUUCUCCAAUCUGAUGCAACAUUUGAUUUUACAUCUCCCGUAUGAGGCACGAAUGGGGGGACCUAUGUAGUUUCGUUGGUGCUAUUUCAUUGAGAGCACCCUAAAGGUUGUUAGAAACAAAUGUAGAAAUAAAUGCAAGACUGAAGCUUCAAUCGCAGAGGCAUCGAUUCUACAGGAGGUGUCAAACUUCACAACAAAAUACUAUGGUGACAACCUUCCUAGCAUACAUAAUCGUCUGCUUCGUUAUAAUGUUGGCGAAAAUGAAUCCAAUCUCAGCCUUUUUUGUGGGCAACUUGGAAGUGCAAGUGAUUGGACCCAGAAGACCUUGAAAUCUGAUGAGUGGCGCAUUAUCAUGUUAUAUGUACUGUCCAAACCUUACAGAAGUGCAGCCAUACAUAGGGUAAGUCACUAUUCUCAACAAAUUUGUUCUCGAAUAGUCAAUAUUCUACCUUGAACCCCCUUGUUCCUCGCUGGUACAGGGAAUUUCUUCAUGAAUUCUGGCAUCUAUCUAGGGAUCCUAUCCCUCAGGAAUCUGAGACCCUUCUUAAAAAGGGAGCAGGAAGUGGAACACCCGAUUUCAUUUCAUGGUUCAAACAUAAGGUAUUGUCCAAUUUAGUUUAAUAUUUCAAUUCGAUCAUACGUGCAAAUCAUAUAACUAACUAGCUCGCCCGAGCUUGCAGGGCCAAAAUGAUGAAAACAUGAGUGCCAAGUUGAGACAGGUUGUUGAUGGUUUUGCAUAUGGAGUCAAGACAUUUUCUGAUUAUGAUGUUAAUGGCUAUCGAUUUCAUACAACAAGACACGAGCAACGUCGGCCCAAUCAAACAACCACAAAUAGUGGAGUUUUCACGCGCGGAGAUGAUGGGGUGGAUUACUAUGGAAGAGUUGAAGAAAUAUACGAACUCUCAUUCUAUGGCUGCAAACCUCUUAAUCCCGUCAUAUUCAAAUGUCAUUGGUUUGAUCCUGCAGUAACGAGAAAGACACCUAAUCUUGGUCUAGUUGAAAUUUGACAGGAUUGUGAGUUAGCAGGAGAAGAUGUCUAUAUCGUGGCUCAACAGGCCACACAAGUUUAUUAUCUUCCAUACCCAUGCCAAACCAAAGAGAAUCUUAAAGGUUGGUAUGUUGUGAACAAGGUAUCACCACACGGUAAACUACCUAUGCCAAAUGAUGACGACUACGUCUUUAACCCUAACACAUAUGCCGAAGAGUUCUUUCAAGAAGAGGGGCUAGAAGGGACUUUUGCAAUAGACUUAACCGAGCCGAUCGGAAUGGAAGUAGAUUAUGAAAGAGUUGUUGAAGACGACAAUGGAGAUGAGGUUGAAAAUGCGAAGGACAUGGAAUUACUUCGGCGAUUACAUAUAGGCGAUGUCAAUAAUGCCAACAUUCCUCCUUUGGACGGAGCGGAUCUUAUCGACAUGUAUGAUAGUGAUGACCCCACUUAUGAUCUAGCUAAUCCGGAUCAUGAAGAAUAUUUCUAAUACAUGUAAUGCUACAUUACCUUCUAUUUAUGUUUCAUUUACUUUGCAUCUAUUUAUAAUUUUGUCUUAUUUAUGUUGCAUCUAUUUCUAACUAUUUUUUGUCUCAUUUUGUAGGUGCGAGAAUAAAGAUGGUGGGCGGUAUGAGGAAGUUACAGGCGAUGUACAAACAAACGGCCUCGAAAGCUAAAGGGUUGGUAACGGUUGGAGGCAAAGGUAAGGGUGGAGUAGGAGGAGCAGGAGGAGGAGGACGACGACGAGGACGAGGGGGACGAGGACGACGGGGUCGUGAGCCUACCCCACUACCAUCGCCACUGCCUCAGGACAGGGACGAGGAUGAGGACGAGGAUGAGGAUGAGGAUGAGGAUGAGGAUGAGGAUGAGGAUGAGGACGAGGAGGAGCAGCAGCAGGAGUUGCAGGAGGAGGAGGCGGAGGACGAUGAGGACGAGGGGGACGAGGACGGCGAGGAUGAGGGGGAGGAGGCAGGGGGCACCGCUUCUGGUUCGACGGAGGCAGGCCCCUCUUCUGGUCAGCCGGUUGUCUACUUGAGAGGUUCCUCGCGUCUCCUGAAGCGAGGGAUGCCUAAUGAGAUACUUCUGGUGAUUCGGCCAAGUGGUGAAUGGUUUCAUCAUUGUGUAAGACGGUUACCACAGUCGCCAGCCCAAUGGCAUUCUGGAGAUUUUGUGCAGGCGCCACUUUCGUGGCAUUGUUCAACAUGCCAAAAAAAUGGAGCCAGCUUACACGUUUGCGCACUAUACCUCUGCCCCCGUCACAGAGGAUCGCAGGGGAAGGUCUUUGACAAUAAGGCAGUGCGAGUGUGCACGGAGCUAUGGGUAAGUCUUUGUAUAAACCAACAUUGCUCAAUACAUCACAUUCACUGUACAUUCUUCAAAUAAUAAUUAUUUGACAUAUCAUGUCUCUAUCUAGGAUUUCUUCAGAUGCGAGCCUGGAUAUGAGGAUGAGGCUCCCCAAGUGGCUUUUAAUGCAUGCCACAAGCUCGUACUAGACAUGCACUACAAGUGUCAUGUCCAGUCUAUCAUGACGUACCACGCCUAGUACCUUUCUCGGAAGGUGACCAAAACUGAAGCCAGAACCAUGAUGCUGACCAAGGAAGAAUUCAUGAAGGUAAAUAUGCAGCACUAAUAAUGUUUUCUUUCCUAAAAUUAAGUAACCUUAAUAUGAUCUUCUUAUAUGUCACAUGCUUGAUGUCGUGUAGGUUCCUCUAUGGUGGUGCAAUGCAAACGUCUAGUGCUAGGAGGCAAUUGUGGACAGGUGGUUCACUCCUGAGUGGUCAGAGUCACACAGUGCUAGCAGGGAGCGGCGCGCCCUGAUGUAAGGUCCGUCACACCAUCAAGGCAGUCUUAGCCUUGAUGGAUAUAGAGCUAAAUGGGUAAGCUAAAUCCACUUCUUUCGUAUAAUGCUCAAUUUGGCAUAAUUUCUAAUCAUCCUAUUGUUUCUUUUGCAGUCGCAGGCACAUGAUGGUCAGGAAGUCUCCACCUUCUAGGCAUACGCAAUUGGGCACCAGGACAAGUACAAGAUAACCGUUUGCUAGAACCCAGAUGCCCUGGCCUCGUCGUACAGCAACCCCUCCAUCCAUGCACGCCUCACUCAGUACAUAGAGACGACAAAGGAGGUAUAUGGGCCAGACUACGAUCCCACCGCCCAUGACAUUGAUGGAGAAGUCAUCAUGAGGGCGGGAGGAGGGAAGGUUCGUGGUCGGUACAUGAUUGGUGAAGGCAGCUUGGAUUCCAGCACUGUUCCCAGCCUAGCCCAAAUCCGAGCAAGGAGCACAAGCUCGAGCGCGCCCAUACGCCAACGGCCGAACACUACGAUGAGCAUUGUGGCAUCCCUCUAGGUAAUUUCUGUUUUAUUCACCGUUCAUUGAUUUCGACAUACGUUUGCUUUGCAUAGUAACAUUGCCGUCAAUUUUGUAGGAGCGGCUGGCCGAAUCAGAGAGGCUAAGGGAGGAACAAAAAGUUAGGCAGGAGACAGAACAUGAGGUUGUUCAAUAGAGGAUGAACGCGAUGUUCAAGUACAUGCAAAGUCUUGGAGCAGCUGUAGGUCAACCUCCUCCACCCGAUUUAUUCCAACCUAUACCUCCUACUGUCAACACUCCUAUGAGUUUGUCUUCUAUUUAUAACGUUUGUUAAGUCCAUAUAUCCGUUGUUAGACAACACUUCUAUUUAUAACCUUUGUCUGACACAUGCAACAUAUUCAACUUUGUGUAGAAUUAAUUGGCGGCGUCAAACGAUCCACCUCCUAGGCAACAAGGAGGAUCGGGGUGGGACGCAUGGAGUGGGCCGAGGUAGGUGGAUUGUGAUACUUGAUUGCCGGGGGAUCAAUUGUUGGAUGGACCAUGGACUUGUGAUGGUUAUGGACAUUAUGUGAUGCUUGUGGGAUUACAUGUGUUGUUCAUGGAGUUAUGUGUUGGUUGUGGCCUACAUGUGAUGGACACGGAGUUUAUGUGGUUGAUUUGUCGUAUUUAUGAUAUAUAUGUGAUCUGUGAUGGUUAUGGAUAUAUAUAUGAUCUGUGAUCUAUAAUGUGAUAUAUAUAUAUAUAUAUAUAUAUAUAUAUAUAUAUAUAUAUAUAUAUAUAUAUAUAUAUAUAUAUAUAUAUAUAUAUAUAUAUAUAUAUAUAUAUAUAUAUAUAUAUAUAUAUAUAUAUAUAUAUAUAUAUAUAUAUAUAUAUAUAUAUAUAUAUAUAUAUAUAUAUAUAUAUAUAUAUAUAUAUAUAUAUAUAUAUAUAUAUAUAUAUAUAUAUAUAUAUAUAUAUAUAUAUAUAUAUUUGUUUUGAUGGCGAAGCAACAAAACAAGCAAAAAAAUGACCAUAGAGGCCGUGCGUUGCACACGGCAAAGAAGCUCUUUGCCGUGAGCUUGCCCACAGCGCACAGCAAAGAUGGGGGGCAGAACCACCCCAUCUGGGAAGUGUCUUUGCCGUGUGCUGUUGCCCUGGCAUACGGCAAAGGGUUUUCUGAUUUUUUAAUUAACAAAUAUCACUAUGCGAAACUCUUUUUUCUUUUUUAAAAAAUAAUUACUUUGCCGUGAGCCCUAUGACCUGCCAUACGGCAAAGCUAGCCGUUACUGUGCCCUCGGUCGUAAGGUUGCUUUUGUGUGCCGGGUGCAACAAAGACGCACGGGUAAGAUUUUGCCGCGUGCGCAAUGAUCAGGACCCCUGGUGCCUUACGGUUGUGUACGGCCCGGUCCAGGAGGUGGACAAGGCUGCGUUCCUAGAGGAGCUGCGCACAGUUCUCUAGGUAACGGAUGGCCCAUGGUUGGUGGUCGGCGAUUUCAACGUGAUCUAUCAGGCGACGGACAAAAACAAUGAUGGAGCUUUCAGAGCUUUACUUGCAUGGCCGUCGCUACACAUGGUCGAAUGAGUGUCGACAUCCGACGCUAGAAAGGAUUGACAGAGCCUUUGCAACGGUACCUUGGCUUGAGGCCUUCCCUUGUCAUCACCUUCGUUGCGUGUCGACGGAUUGUUCAGAUCAUGCGCCCUUGCUACUUGAUCUGUGCACUGAACCUUGGGCUAGGCCCCGGUUUAGAUUUGAGGCAAUCUGGGUACGCUUUGACGGUUUCCUUGAGGCAGUCAGCUCGGCGUGGGUUUGUACCCUGGUCAACGUCGAUCACUGUCGUGUGUUGGAUUUCUUGCUCAGGAGAACGACCAGGGCUCUAAAAAGCUGGAGCUCUCGGCAUGUGGGCAGUGUCCGCUUCCAGCUAUUUGCUGCACGUGAGCUCAUCUCGCAUCUAAACAGGGCGCCAGAUGAAAGGGGCCUAACCGAUGAGGAGCACAUGCUAAGGAAAGACCUCAAGCGUGAAUCGCUUGGUCUGGCGUUGCUGGCCAGAACCAUUGCCAGACAACGGUCGCGUAUCAGAUUUCUUGGUGAAGGCGAUGCAAACACAAUGUUUUUCUCUAUUUGCAAGCCUGUCACCGCAAACGCAAGAACACCAUCAACGCACUACAGCAUGGUGGUCAGUUGUUCACAGCCGAGGAGGCCAAAUCAGAACUUGUGUAUGAGUACUACAAGGAGAUUCUGGGGAAGCAUUUGUCCCGUUCACAUGGGAUAAAUUUCCAGCAGCUCGGGAUUCCGCAGUUGGACUUGGUGUGCCUGGGGGAUUGUUUUACUGAGGCUGAAAUUUGGGACACGAUCAAGGAGCUGCCCAGCGACCGUGAACCAGGGCUGGAUGGCUUCACUGGUCUAUUCAACUGCUACAGAAUCGGCCUUUAGUUCCGGUCGGGAAGGGGUUUUAGCCCCGGAUUUCGAGCGGGGACUACGCUUUCGAGACUAAAGGCUCCCCUUUAGUCCCGGCUCCGUGCACUGGGGCCAAAGCCCCCCUUUAGUCUCGCCUUUAGUCUCGGAUGGUAUUACCGGGACUAAAGGGUACUGCCAGCGGUGCCACGCAACAACACCCUUUUGUGCCGGCUGGUAGUACCGCCCGGGACUAAAGGGGCCUCUUGUUUUUCCUUUUUCUUUUCUUUUCAGUUCUUUUUUUUAGUUUUGUUUAUUUAUACAAUAGGUUUUCCAAUAUGUAUAUAUAUAUAUACACCAAUAAGCUUAUUUUAUACAUAUAUAAUUGAAUUAUAUAACUACAUAUACAUAUAUAUAAAUAUAUGCACAUACAUAUAUAGAAGUUAUUCGCCAAAUUUAUUACUGCACAAGUUGUACUCCAAAGGUUACUCUAAACCUAUUACAAGUUUACAAAGCAUACAAAUGAUCAUCAUUGUUUGGAAUCAUCAUCUCGUUAGGAUUAUAGUGGAACUCGCCGCUUGGAUUUAUAACUUGUUCCCGAAGAAAUCCUGCUAUUGCCUCUUGUAUUGCUUUGAGUUGUUCAUGUUGCAUGAGUUUUUGCUUCAACCAUUCAGUCUUCAAUUUGAAUUAAAAGAAGGUAUUAGUUAUAUCAAGAUUAUCAAUAGUAAUUCGAGAGAAAAUAAAAAGAGACAUGUGUUACAUACUCUGAGGUAUUCUUCAGGAAUUCUAUUUGUUACUGCCAUAAUAUACUCGCAAACGUAGUAUCCACAUAAGUUGUUCCUCGGUUCUUGUCUCAAGAUCCACUGUAGGAUGUAAACAUCUCGUAAAAAAGACAAGAUAUAAGAUAUACCACGUACAUUGGCGAGAAGGAUAAACGUACUUGUAGCUGUAUUAUCUUUAGUGGCGCCCUACGUUCAGAUAGAUGUUCCCAAACAAUGAAUCUUUCUCAAACCCUAAACCAAUGACAUAUUUAAAACAAGAGAGUUGGAUCGUUAAGUAUGCAUAUAUACAAGCUUAGUCUACUUUACGCAUGUAAAUGGAUCGAAAUUACUUUUGAAUGAUGUCUAUCAUAUCUUGGUAAUCUUAUUGCGGUUUCUUCAUUGAGUCAUAGAUUACCAACUUACUUUCAGCAAGAUCGAUGACUAUGAGUAUCUAGUGAAAGAUGUUCAUAGAGACAUGAGUCGUAGAUUAGGGUUAAGUUGCAUGUUAACUAUAUAUGUAUAACUCACUUGAAGUUGUAGGGGAAGAGUAUUCUUUUUUUUUGUCUUUUUGGUUCACGAAGAACCUCAUAAGAUUCAUACACAUGUCAGUGAUCAAAGUCGCCGAAGGGUUUGGCUCCUUGAAAACAAUGUAAGGAUCAACAAAUCCAAGAGUAUUAUCAUUUUUGGAUCUGAACUAAGUCAUUUGGAGCCUACAUAUAGUGAGUCCAUUGACAAGUACGUGUGUAAGGAUUACUACUAUAUAGACAUGAUGGAGAGUUUAAUAAAAACAAAGAAAUACUUACAAAUAAAAGCAGCUAAUGAGUGAUUUGUCCAGAGCGUCCAUGUGGCAUAGCUGCUGUAAUUCGCUCAUCUGGACUCAGAUAAGGUCAUCACCAUGGAAGUAGUGAUGGUUUCAAAUUCGAACAGAAAUCCAAUCAACUCCACCUUUAGAAGCCUCCAUGCACCAUUUGUUGAUUGCAAACAUCUACGUACCGAGUACAUGUAGGUGCUUGGGGUUCAUUAGACUCCUACCCAGUGCAAAAUUUGUCCUCCAUUCAUCAACUACUUCCGCUCGUGGAAACUCUAGCCCAGCAGCAAUACUUUGAAUCGUGGAGUACGGGAGACCACUCUCAAUGAAAUAAUUUUCAAGUGACUCCAUCUCAGACGAAGUGGGCUCUCCAGAUUUCCUCUGUACUAUGCUCACAUUUGAACCAUACUGAUCUUCCACAAUUAGCGGGGACAAAGGUCUUGAUGUGUCCCCGAGCUGUGGAACACCCUUUCCUGCUUUCUUCUGGGCAGAUUGAGCUCUUACAACUUUAAUUAGUUGGCGGAGGCUUUCGAGCUUCGCGCAUUUUUCGGUUGUGCUCUUCCACCCUCUUCCUCAGCUCCCCUUUUGGUAAGUAGAGGUAUGGCUUUUUAGGGUUCCGCUUCGCUUCAAAUUCCUUUUUACAUUUUUCAAAGUGUGCUUUCACAUCAGAAGCAACCGAUGCAAUUAUCUCCUCGUCAGUCUUCUCAUAAGGCAACGUUUCACUGGCUGCUUUAGAGCCAGAGGGAGCCUGAGCCUCCUUCUUUCUAGGAUGUGGGACCGAAGCCUUUGGUGCUGGGGCGGACCUCUUCUUACUGUCUUGAGGAAGUGGUGGUGGCGGGGACGGUGCGGUCCGUGGCGGCGUUGGAGACCGUGUUCGAGGCGGUGGUGAAGGCGGUGGCAGGGUGGGUGCGGCCCGUGGCGGUGUUGGAGACCGUCGUGGAUGAGAUGGGGUUGUAGUCAUGUCCUCCAAUGCAUCUUCACCGCUCACAACACUAUGAUGCGCUGGGGAAUGAAUACUUGGACUGAAGACCCUACUAGGAAAACAACGAGUGUUGUGAGCGAAUAAAUUGUUUUGAAUAGGAUGUUAGCAAAUAAAUUAAAUUUUUUUUGAAUCCAUGCGCCUAUGCUAAGGAUCCUGAUCAUCAGUAAGACGAGGUGGUUGUUGACGGUCCUUAAGUAUCAAAUAUAAUCAACAAAUAAACAAAGAAAAGGAUCCAAAUGCAAUCGACACCCAGACUUAGGGUUUUAUCUGACAAAAUUCCACGAGUUUUGGUGUUUGUCUAUUUCUGCAGGGGGUUAUCAGAAAUUAUGGAAGAAAGGGCCACACGUCGGGUUUACAUAGAGAUAUUAACGUGCACCGCAAUUAUCCAAAAUCUAGAAGAGUCCAGAAGCCACGGGAACGAACGGGAGGCCGAGCGGACCCAGGGGCAGGGCGCCCGCCCUCCCCCCUUGGGCGCCCACCCUGGUCUAAGGACCAAUCACGUUCUACCUCGCGGAUCAUGCUCCAUCGACCUAAAGGAUCAAGGAAAACCGUGCGAUUAAUGUCGGUUUGAUCAAACGGCCCAUAUUCAUUUGGAUGGACUAUAAAAGUAGACCCCCUGGCCCCUGGAGGAGAGCACAUCUGAAACCUUAAUUCAUUUAUCCAUCUCGGGAGAAGAAGCCUCUGAUCAAGCCCUAGAGCCACCACAUCAAUAGAUCUCUAGUUUAGCAUAGCUACAUAGGAUUAGAACUAGAAGGAGUUAAUCUUCGAUUGGUUUCCGGAUCUGUCAAGAGGAUUCCUGGUUUCAUAUACAUGUUUAGGAUUGUAUCACGUUUAUCCAUGUGUACAGUGAGUAUAUGAUAAGUAUUGUGUAGGCGUGGUGCCUAUACCGUAUUUAUCUACGAUUGUACCCUAUAUGCCGGAUCGCGGGGUAGUUCGUGGUGGUGACAGCUCCAUUGAUUCUUAUAUAGUCCCCCUCUCAUGUAUAGGGCAGGCAGAGCAACAUUAUUACAUGGGAGUGAUUGUUAUGUUUCUCAUUUUCCUUGAUAAUAUCACUAUGCAUGGGCGUAGUCCUGUUUUGCAAUGAUUGCCAAGUAUAAUUGCACUAACUAUGAUAUGCUAGAUUUUAUAGUUAAGAAUAACUUAGGGAAUAUUCUUGUAGUUCAUCCUAAUUCCAUGCUAAUGACUUGCUAGAAUAUCUAUUGAGGUGCUUAUCAUUAUUAUAUGUGGCUAAUUAUGCUGAUCAGAUUAAUUAUCUUUGUCACCAUUCAUACUUUAUCUAUAUUUUAUGUGACAUUUAUCCCUGUAUGAAAGAGAUAGAUAAGUGCUCUCAAUUAUACAUGCAAUGAUAGAUACUCAAUUCUACAUUCCAUUCUAUAAUCAACAUUGAUGAUUAGAAAUCCCUUCCCAAUGGUAAAAAUAUAAAUAACGAUACCUGGAAUAUUUCCCGGUUAAAAUGCUACAUCGGUAUUAAUAUGUGCGCUUGCAGAUCUCAUUUAUUAUUCAUUCAGAAGAGCAAUUGCAUAUUUCAAUACCGCGUCUCUCAUGUCAUGCUGGGGAUGACAACUUGGCUUAAGUGGCAUGAGGGAUAGGUUCGGCAUUUUUGGCACCAUUAUCAGAAUUAGAAAAUUAAGUCUACUUUUGGUAAUGACGUUAAGAAUGCCCAACAAGCAUUUUUGGCGCCAUUGCCGGGGAAGGUUGAUUACUAAUCAGGAAUGAAUAUGAAAUUUUGAGUCAUCAUUCGCAUCACUAAUAUGAUUGAGAUUAUCAAUUCUCUCAUACAGUUUUACCCUGGUAUUUUUCUAUUUUAUUUUAUGCAGGGUGAUGUAUGAAUAGAAGAUAUCUUCCUAGAAAUUUUGCUGACAAUCCCGAAGCGUUAUUCAGAAAAACAAGAGCCAAGCUCAAGAAGAGAUCAUCAACACUUCAGCACGAAGCUUCAUCCAAUCAAGAAGAUCGCUGAAGUUUCACCCAGAACAUGUCUUCAGAAUUCGAAGUCAUGGCGAACAAAUCGAUCCGUGAGUUCUCAGCUCCCACUACGGACAACAUCCGUACUGGACCUGCUGCAGAGAUCGACGGCAACUUUGAGCUUAAGCCUGGACUUAUCAACAUGGUGUAAUCCAACCAGUUCUGUGGGAAGGCACACGAAGAUGCUAGUGCUCAUCUCCAACACUUCCUGAAGAUUUGCAGCACAUUCACCAUAUCAGGAGUCCCUAGAGAUGCUAUACUACUUCGCCUGUUCCCAUUCUCACUGUUAGGGAGAGCGAAGCAGUGGUUCUACGCUAUAAAGGAGAAGAAUACUACGUGGGCACUCUGCUCCACGAACUUUCUGGUUAAGUUCUUUUCCAUGGGCAAGACCAAUGCUCUCAGUGGGAAGAUUACAAGUUUUCAGCAACAACAUGAUGAAUCCGUUCUAGAAGCAUGGGAGCGCUUCCAAGACUACAUCCUAAAAUGUCCCCAUCAUGGAAUGGAGAGCUGGCUAUUGAUGCAGACGUUUUAUCAUGGGCUCGGCAACAGUGCCCAUGAGACCAUGGAUGCUGCAGCUGGAGGAGCAUUCCUAUCACUCACCAUACCACAAGCCACAGCUCUUGUGGAAAAGAUGGCGUCCAACGAAGGCUGGAAUGAAGAGAGGUGGAGGUAUGCAUCAGCUCAAGGAGGUAGACAUGUUGUCUGCCAAGCUAGACCUGCUCAUGAAGAAGCUCGAUGAUAGAGCUAGAGAUAAGAAAGAAGUUAUGCACAUCUACGACUCUCACAUGACUUGUGAGGAGUGUGGAGAUACUGUACACUCAUGUAAUCACUGCCCUAAGAUGCUUGAGGACAUGAACUACAUCAUCAUCAACAACAAUAACAACAACUAUUACAACCGUCCUUAACAAAAUCAAGGUUGGAAUCAACAGAGGCCUAACUACUCAAGUAAUUAUCAAGGUAAUAAUUCUUACAAUAAUAAUAGUAAUUUUCCACCUCUGAGAGAGUUAGUGUCUAAUCAAGGAAAGCUAAUGGAUAACCUAUCUAAGAAAUUGGCAUCUAAUGAUAAAAUAUUAGAAAAUAUAAAUAAUAGAAUGGAUAAUUUCUCUACUGCCAUCAAGAAUCAACUUAGCUUUAAUAAAAUGAUUGAAUCUCAAUUAAAUCAAAUAGUUGCUGCUGUUCCUGCUACUAACCCCGGUAUACCAUCACAACCGGAAGGAUUAGAAUCUGCAAAUCUUGUAGACAUGUUUGAUACAGGUAACUACUGGAGUAACCCCGUUGCAGAAGUUACUACUGACCUUCUGCCGGUCAAGAGAGGCGAUCCAGGACGCCCCAUCAUCCUGAUUUCCAUCGGCAUGGUGGACUUCUCAGAAGCACUCUGCGAUUUUGGCUCUAGUGUCAACAUUAUGCCCAGGGUACUCUAUGAAAAAUUCUUUACAUAUCCUUUACUAGAAACAACCAUGUGUUUGCAGUUUGUAGAUCAAGCGUUAAGUUUCCCAAAGGGAAUUUUGAAGAACCUCUGCGUCCGAGUUGGUACCUUGUACGCCCCAGCAGACUUCGUGGUGAUAGAGACCCGUAAUGAUGAGAGAGCACCCGUCAUCUUAGGGAGGCCAUUCCUGAGCACCUCGGGAGCUGUCAUCUACGCUAGUGCUGCCAAGAUUAGUUUCUACAUCAAAGGGAGGAAGGAGACGUUUUUCUUCAAGAACAAGACUACACAAAUCCCAGAGCAAUCCCGACAUGAACCAAGGAAGAAGACCAACAGGAGAAACAGGACAAGCAAGUGUGGACCGAAUCAGCUAAGAUGGUCACUACAGUUCAAGGAGGUCAAGAUCACCGACUUAAGUCACCGUUUCUGACCAAAAAGGACGACCCAGGUAUGCCAAGCAUCCACUGCUCCAUUAAUGGAUACAACUUCUACAAGACGAUUUGCGACACCGGAUCGGGCGUCAACAUAAUGGCCGCAGUCACCUAUCGGCUCUUGUUCGGAACCAUGCCCCUAAAACCGACAUACAUUCAGCUCCAGAUGGCAGAUCAGACAUUCCAAAAUGUUGAAGGUAUAGUAACUGAUGUCCCUGUCAAAAUAGACGAUCAUUUUGUCCAUAUAGACUUUCAGGUUAUUGACAUGGGAGAAGACGAGUACGAUCCACCCAUCAUCCUUGGGAGACCGUUCCUCAGCACCAUUAAAGCAAUCAUCUACAUUGGAACCGGAGAAGUCCACAUGCACUUCCCCUCUGAGAAGGUACGCCGCUAUUUUACUAACCCUAACUAUAUAGUUGAAGACUCUAAGCAGGUCAGGACAAGAAGAAGACGACGCAACCGCAACCAGAGGAGGCAAAUCAUCAAAGACGGAUGGGCAGACUACGAAGGAGAAGUGGUAAGGUCUGAAGACAUACAGCUUGAAGAGAACUAUCCUAAGGAGACCGUAGCACCGAGUCAGGUGUGGAGAGAGAAGAUAGUUAUACACGAAGAGGAGGCGCCGCCGGAACCACCGACUACGCCAUCCGACGAAUCCCAGGACGACUGAGAAAACAGAGAGUCCCAUUCGGAGGACUUAAAAAACACCGGACGCCUUGCCAAGAGGUAAACUUGGUAAUUAUCCUUUUCCUUUCAAUUAUUUCAAAUCGUUUGCUUAGUCAAUCAUGUUUAUACUAUCCUAAAAAGAAAAUAAAAAUGUUAAAAAUAGUAAGCCCCAUGUGAGUAUACAAGUGGCAUAAAACCCAUAAGUACAUUCACUGUGGUGGCAUAAAUAUAAAAUAAAUAUUUUUUCUGUUUAUGAAAAUGAAAAUAAAAAAAAUAAGAUUGUGAUCCUACCAAAGAGAGUAACAUAUAUUGAGGAGGCUCAACAUGAUAAAGGCUAGAUAUUUAUGCUAACACUUAAUCAAUUCCACAAAGCUUUGUUGUCUAUUUGAGCUCCUCAGAAUUCAAGGAUCAAGAAGACUAGCAGACGGAGGACAUCCUAAUCGCUGUCAGAGUGCUGCCGACUUUCAAAUACACCUCUACCACCUGCUAGCUACAUCAGAAGAAAUUACAUCAAAAUUCAGUUUGGGGGAGAGCACCCCCAUUUAUCACAUGAAAAUCUUUAAAAUAUCGCAUGAUGAGUUCCUGUAUGAUGAGAGUUUAAAUUCCUACCACAGCCAUAUAUAUACAUGCUUGCUAGACUUUGAGCUACACAUUUACUUUUUACUGCUUAUGAGCAUUGAGUGUGGUCAAGCUGUGUAGACCCUUAGGAGCUUGUCAUGUGGUUAAAUCAAGAUUCACUUGCACGUUCACUCACACAUGCAACUUCUACUUCGGAAGUACGCAUCCACAUAUAUCCACUCAUUUCCAUCUCCAGAGCCACCCAAAAGUAUUCUACUCCUAAUCCGGGAGAGAAUAGCCAAAAACACUCUCCUAUUUCUGUUUUUCCCCUGAGAAAUAAAUCCUCAAGUUAUCUUGGUUACUACCACUUGCUAUAUUAUUUCAGGAGAUGAGUGCUCUAAAAAAAGAGAAAAAAAUACGAGGAAAUAAGAGGGGCAAGUGCCCGGAACCUCGAAAGAAAAGAAAAAGUGAGACGAGAUGUAAAAACGGACAAGUGUCCGACAGUAGAAUUAGGGGUACAAGAUACCCACCUGAGAGGAAAGAAAAAGAGAAAUAUAGAGCAUCUCAUUCUCCUCAAAAAAGUUUCAAAACAGCAAGAAAUGUAUGUAUCCCCUCAAAAGAGCACAAGUAGAAUUAGACUUUCACCAUUGUUAUCACCAUCAUCACCAUACACCAUUCAUUCGCCACACAUGCACAUCUUGAUUUGACUUAUUGACUUGUUUCUCUGGAUCCAUGGUUUGACUAUACAAUAAAUGUCUUGUAAGUAUGUAUACUUUAUCUCCCACCUAUGAGCUCCCGAUAUCAAAAGCCUUAUUAGAGUAGGAUGAGAGAGAAGGCAAUGUCACUAUGCCUUAUACCACAAAUACCACAUACUUUGAGAGAGAAGGCAUGUACCAUCACUGCUUUGGUAAGGAUCUAGAAAUACCACAAAAGAGAGAUCUAAGAGAGUCAUACAAGGAAUCUCUGAGUUUUAUUUGAAAAUCUGCAAAAACUCCAGAGCUAUAGCUGAUCAAGAAUAAGAGACAUGACACUUGACUAGACCGUUCUAUCUUUUAACUGCUCGAGACAGAAGUGACGGUUACAAGUCCCAUGGUAAAAGGUAAAAUGAGUAAGUUUUAAGUCUUGACGGUUUACUCUAACUCAGCGAUGAGACCU